rnacentral:lncRNA from 1 species
UUUUUUUUUUUUUUUUUUUGUGGCAUUGCUUCUGCAACGCCUAGCCAAAACAGAGCUCUGCCGCUGCUCUUCUCUUAUUUUUAUUUGUUUUUUCCUCCAACAGAUUUGGGCAACCUACUUAACCAAAGAUUAAAAUCUAACACCCUAUUUCUACGAAUCCACAUAUGAAUCUUCCUAAAAACAUAUAGCUACAUAUAUAUAGCAACAAUACAUAUCCGUAAAAUUCUUAGGACAAUUAAUGCAACUACUAAAACUUAAAAGAAAAGUUUUGCAUGCACUCGGGACUUACAGGUUUAGGUGCCUAGUCGUCUGAUCGAUUGACGGUGUCGCCUGCUUCUCCUUCUCUAUUCUCUGACAGCUCUUGCUCUAGGGAGGCAGACGAAAGAAAGGUAAGGGUGGUGUUAUUUUUCUUUCUGGGGUUUCAAUAAAAUUCUAAACCUAGCACUACUCACUAGUAGGUAGUUUAGAUAGGAGUUUUAACUAUUGUGAACUUUCACCCUAUCUUAUCUCAUAUUACCCCUUAAUUAAUUCUUUAACCUAACCUGCAAUUUUUUUUUCUUUUACACAUAGUAAAUUACCAUUUAAUUAAAUUGGGCAAGAUAAAGUGAGCCCAAAAACCGUGGGUUUUACAGACCCCGAAAAAAAAAUCAAAAGUAAAAGAAGAAAAGCGAAGAGCUAUAUCACUCAUUUGCCAAUAGUGAUUCAAAAAAAGAAAAGAAAAAAAGAUACGUAAGAUCAAGGUGCUAUAUAGACUGAUUAAAUUUGUAUACAAAAGACUAGAAAACAAACUAAACAUCUUUGUAGCAAGAUUUACUAAUAUAAAAGCAAACAAUUCUUGAAUAGAUACGUAUCAACCUAUAUUCUAGAUCAAAUUACCACCAGUCUUUCUGUUACAAAGGUUUCUGGCCCUUUGGCAUCAAUUACAAUCUGCAAGUCCAAAAUAUGAAAUCUGAAAAAAGCCAGAAUCAUAACAGUUGUCAAUUGUCAUGUGAGCACUUCCUUCCAAUCAUGUUUCUUUAGAGAUUUAUUUCAAAUAGAUGUACCUUGCUUUCCUGGGCUCUAAUCCUUUGAAUUUUAAAAUACUAAAUAUUUGACAAACAUAUAAACUAAAUAAUAAAAAAUAGUUAUCUCAACAAAUCUUACCUUCAUGGUGAUAAAGUAUCUGUGAGCAAAUUAAAUAUAUUAGAGAGUAUAUCAAUAUUUAAUUACUUUUUAAAAAAGGAUCUGUCUAAUGGGUGCCCAUAGGGCACUAAUUAAGAUAUAUUUUGGGUGUCAUAUUUUUGAAAAUAUAAAAUUAAUUAGGAAAAGUAAAUAAAUACAAAAGAGGGUAGGUAAGAUUAAAUAAGGAAAGUAUAUAAAUGCAAGGGAUGGUACUAAUUGUUAGUAUAUGUAUAUGCAUGAUAGGUUAGGUAAAUGUUAGAUAUAUUAAUGAGUGCCCUAUGGAUACCCUUUAGAAAAACCCUUUUAAAAAUAGUAAAGAAAAGAAAUUAUCCUUCAAAGGAAAAAAAAAAGAUGUCCACAUAAACCUCACGUGAUCAUGAUUUUAGAAAAUAGGUAACUAAUUUUGAAUUUUUCUAAUGAGAAGAAAAUAGCAUAUAUUUUUCCUUCUUUUUUACGUUGGAGAAUGGAUAGAAAUUAAUGAGAAUUUUAUAAAUUUAUAAUUGAUUAAUUAUAAGAAAAAAAUAUGUAUAGUUUAUUUAAUUUUACAAAUUAGAGAAUGGAUAACUAGGAUAGAUCUUAUAAAAUAAAAAAGAUACAAGUUAAUAUAGAAAGGAAGAGAAUUAAUUGUUACCAUAAAAUAAAAAGAAUAAAAAAGUAAGAGAUCAAUAUGUUGAUUGAAAUUUGUUAUAAAUACGAUAGUAUUGAAUUAUAGCAACUUCCAAAAUUUCCAAAAAUUUAGUAAUAGUAACGUCUAAUAUAUAAUCAAGUCAAAAAAAUAAAUUAAAAAAUGCAAUUGGAGAGAAAUAAAAAAACCUAUAAGUUCAUUAAUAAAAAGAUUUGAUAAGGCAUAACAAAUACAAACGUACAUAAGGUGAAAACUAAAAAAUUGAGUGAAAUGCUAUAAAUAUGGAAGUGAAAAUGGAAAUGGAUUAAUUGUCAAUAAAAAAUAGAAAAGAAUUAAAAAGGACCAAAAAAAUAUAAACAUUAAAUUUGUCCGCAUGGCGAACAAGGUGGAUAGUCUAUCUGGCAGCAGGUUAGAGUAGCUAAGUUUGCAACUUUCCAAAGUUGAAACUGAACAUUGUUUAUUAUAUAUACAAGCUUCUUUCCUAUGCAUUUGCACGGGUUAUUUUGUAUUCAGCAGCACAAUUAAAUAUUUUUGAAAAUUCAAAUAUUUAUUUGAAUAGAUAAACUAUGUUUUGAUUAACUAUUUUACUAUAAAUUGAGACUGGAAAGAGGAUAUACUAUAUGUAAAACUUAAAAUGAGCUAAGAGUUAGGUUAGAGCACUAAACAAAAUAUUGCAAGCAUUCAAUAUAAAAUUAAGGUAAUUAACCAAAAUAACGGUAAACAAAUUGUAAUAAAAAUUCAAUCUAAAAUUAAUUUACAAACCAAUAUAGUCUGUUCGGCUUGUGCAUGUUCUGAAGCAAUAUUUUUGGUAAGAAGGAAGAAGUAUCAUAAUAUGUUCAAUAAUAUUUUAUUAUUAUCUUAUGAAAAGAAAAUAAAUUAAAGAUUAAAAGGAAGAGAGAGAAAAGGCUGUAUAUUAUUUUUCAUAAAUUGAAAAGGUAAAGUGCAAAAACAAUUAUUACCAUCAUCAUAUAACUAUGGAAUUCUAUGAACCUCUUAUGCUUGAACAUCCUAAUAGCAUGACUUUUGAAUCCUUGAUUUCAUUAUGGUUAAUUGUCGUUAACAUAGUAAGUAUUCUGAAAUAUGACUAAAAUUAAAUACACUAAGAAUGUAUAUUAAGGAUAACAAAAUGAGUGAUUGAUCGUUGUUAAUAAAAAUACUACACCUAAAAUGUGAAAAUGUUUAGGAUUAGUUGUUGCUAACAAAAAUAAAACAAUUUAAACCUAACCAAAUAAAUUAAGACAAUAUAUACACAUGGCAGAAACAGAGGACGUUCACUUGGUAGAAAAUGAGAAUAAUCGACUCAGUAACCUGCCAUACAGGGAACUGAACAUCGUUUUAUUAUAUAUACUAGUUUUGUAUUCAGCAGACUUUAUUUUUAGAUGAACAUGGAUACAAAAGAACUAAAAUAACAAAUUUGUUAAAUUUUAAAAUACUAAAAUUAAGACAAACAUUGAAACUAAAUGAUAAAAAUAGUUACUCCCACACAGUACACUAAUUAGUUUUUAGAAAAUCUUACUUCGAUGGUGAUAAAGUAUCAUGUAAGAAAAGUAAAUAUAUUACAGAGUAUAUCAAUAUUAUAUUACCUUUUUAAAAAAUGUAAAGAAAAGAAAUUAAGAAGCAAAAAUUCUUUCAAAGGAAAAAAAAGAAAAAGAUGUUCACAUAAGCGCAUUUGAUCAUGAUUCUAAAAAAGGAGUAAUUGAUUUUGAAUUUUCUAAUUAGAAGGAAAUAGAAUAUAUCUUUUCUCUUUUUUUUUGGCUAGAGAAUGGAUGAAAAUUAAUUCAUGAUCAUGAUUAUAAAAAAGGGUAACUGAUUUUGAAUUUUCUAAUUAAAAGGAAAUAGAAUAUAUCUUUUCUUUCUUUUUUGUAUGUUGGCGAAUGGAUGGAAAUUAAUUACUCUUGUCGUCCCAUUGAAAGUGUUAUAUUUUUUAUUUUGGGAUGUUCCACUAUAUUUGUCAUGUUGAGAAACUCAAAAUACUUUUUAGGCUCUCCUUCCAAUAUAGUUUCUCUCUUUAAUUAUAUGCACGUUACCAUUCAAAUUAAAAUUUGAAAUUUGUGGGGGUAAGAUUGGAAAGAGAAGUACAAACAUCAUAAUCAAAUCAUUAUUUUUUAAAAGUUGAAUUCCUGAAACAUGACAAAAUAGUUGGGAGGGAGUGAGUAGAAUUUUAUAAAUUUAUAAUUGAUUAAUUUAAAGUAUAUAUAUUUAUAGAUAUAGUUCCUUCAAUUUUACAAAUUAGGGAAUGGACAUCCUUGAUAGAAUAUAUGAAAUAAAAAAGAUACAAAUUAAUAUAGAAAUAAGGGAAUUAAUUGAUACCAAAAAAUAAAAAGAGUAAAAAGUAAGAGAUCAAUAUGUAGAUUGAAAUUUGUUAUAAAUACGGAACUAAUGAAUUAUAGGGAAAUUUUUUUUUCAAAAUUUAGUAAUAGUAACUCCCAUAUAAUCUUGCACAAAAUGAGAUUGGAGACAAAUUAAUAUAUAUAUAUAUUUAUAUAUAUGAAUUGAUUGAUAACAAAAUUUGAUAAGGCAUAAUAAAUACAAAUGUAUAUAAAGUAGAAAAUAAUAAAUUGAUUGAAAAUUGCUACAGGUAAGGAAGUGAAAAAGGAAAGUGAUUAAUUGUUACUAAAAAUAGAAAAAGAAUCAAAAUCACCAAAAAAAAGUAUUAAAUAUGUCCACAUGAUGAAUAGAUAGAUAGUCCACUUGGAAAAAGGUUAGAGUAGCCAAGUUAGCAACCUUCCAAAAUCAGAAUUGAAGAUUAUUUUAUAUAUGUACACUAGCAAACUUUAGGUUGUGCUAAGUACAGCCCAAGUCCACUUAGAAUUUCAAGAACAAUUAAGUGAAAAUCAUUCUUUUGCAUAAAAUCAAUAGAAGGCAAAAGUAGAAUAUAUGGCCACUUAUUUAUAUUACUAAAUAUAAGAGUAAAUCUUGAUCCUAUCACUAAAUACUAAUGAGUAAUUUACUAAUUAGUUAACUUAACUAGAAAUAUACUUGGAAGUAAAAUUUUAAAGGAAGUUGAUACGUUGGAGUUUAGCUUAACAAUUAAUUUGAAGUUCUUAUAUAUUUCAACGUUGUUUAAGAAUUGAGAUUAUGAGUUAGAACUUAGGAUUAUGAACCCUUUUUUUUGCAUAUCAUGUUUGUUUGAGUUAAGUUGAUUGAAUUUUAUUGGAAAAACAUAUGGGAUAUUAUUUUGUUACAACAAUUUUUUAGAGAAAAUUAAAAUAUUUUAACUCACUAUUGAUAUUUUGGAUUACAAAUAUUAUUGAAUUACCGAUUCUCCGAUCCAAUUUAUCAAAUUAAGGUUUGGACGGUAAUCGGAUAUUGGUCUUAAAAAAUCAAUUCCCGAAUUACCAAAAUUUUUUUUAUCGAAUUCCGGAUUUAUCAACCAAUGAACACCCAUAAACAUAAGGGCCAGACUUGUUAGAUUUGCAUGAACAAAAGGCAAAAAAAAAAAAAAAAAAAAAAGAUGUGCAAUGGCAACAAUAGCAAUGUGCAAGAAAUAUUAGUAAAUUACUUGUGAAGCUAUUAGGAAGCCACGUGGCAAGUAAGGAGGCAAAGUACUAAAACUCACUUCCUUCUUAUAUAUAUAGUAGAGGUAGAUACACACACAUGCAUACAUGCAUAUUAUAUAUAUAUAUAUGCAUGUGUGUGUAUAUGUAUAUAUAUAUGUAUGUAUAUGUAUAAGUAUAUAUGUAUGUAUGUAUGUAUGUAUGUGCAAACAAGGGAAAUGGAUCAAAACUUGUCUACAUAUUAAGCCAAUGAGAAAAUCAUAGUUUUGAUCACAAUGUUUUACCUGUGUGCUAAAUUUGUCCUUAAUGUUUCAUUUAAAGCAAAUCUGGUCCUUAAAGUUUAUGAUUUUAGGCACAUUUAAGACAACUAAUGGAAUUUGAAGAAAGAUUAACAGUCAACAUCAAAUUGCCCUUAGUCAACAACUUUGAAUUUGCAAUUUUGGUUCCCAAUAUUUUGAUUUUGAAUCAUUUUAUUUCCCUAAAUUUUAAAUAGUGACGUUAUGGGUUUUAGGAUGAAGUGAGAUGGGUACAUCAGUUGCAUUUAGGAGAGUCUUUUCUUGGUGCUGCAAAGGAAUUAAAUUUAUUCUUAUCCCGGAAUAAGUCAAUCUCUCUAGUAAUCCAUUUUGAACCUGAAUAAGUAAAAUAAAAAUUCGUUUCACACAAAAUAAAGAAAAGAAUCGAUGAAGUAUAAUUGAAUCUGAUAAGGCAUUUUGAAUCGAAUGAUUAAAUAAAAAUGAGUUUGGUCCAGAUUAAAUAAAGAAGCAAUUGGUCAAGGAUUUCUUCCAACAUUAUAUAUCUUAACUAAGACACAGCAAAUUCAGACUGAGCCUGGGUCAAAUUUGAGAGAAAUUUGUGACAUCAUAUCUUUGCAAGUGUUCGAUUGUUUUGAAAAGUACAAACAAGAAAGCAAAAGUCCAUCCACAUGUAAAGUUAUUCAAAGGAGAAAUGGAAAAUCAAAAUGUCCACUUGCUUGCUAAUUGAACAUUUAACACCCUGUAGCAAGAAGUUCAACUAAUUAAAAAAGUAUAUAAAAUACCAUAUGCUUUGCCGAAGAAGGUUGAAAUUCAUUUUCUAAAGCCAAGUUGGACAAUUAAACGAAGUAAUUAGAUCCUUUACUUCCCAGGUGUUAUCAUAUAUUUGACUCUUUCGCACUAAUCCCAAAUGCUAGCUAUUGUUUAAAAUUGGAUCAAGUCUUUUUAUUUUUAAAGGAUUAGUUGUAACUAAUAUAUCAUUUUACUAAGGUUAGAAAGUUAAACAUGUUCAUUCCUUUUCUUUUCCAGUUACCAACAAAAUUUGUUAAAGCUAAACUUUUUCUUUUUCUUUUGUGUCCCUAAUACAUUUAUUUUUUCUUUUUGGGCUGCUCCGGAAAUUGUUGACAUUGCUCAGAGAGAUGAUUUUCGAUAAUUUUGAUGAACGGCCAACUGCCUAAGGUACUUGAGAUUCGGGGUUCGAUUCCGGGCAGUCACUUUCUUUUUCCUUUCCCCUCUCUUCAUGACUUCAUCUAAUCCAGCCUUAGAUAAAAAAUUAAAAAAAUUAGUUGUAUAAUGAUAUACUGGAAGGAAGAAAAGUAUGAAAUACUAUCUCAUCUCAAGAAAAGGUCUUACCAAAACUCCACAUCUAUGUGGAAAAUGCAUAUGGUAGACUUGCUUAAGGACAAGAAAAUUGAGAAGUGGCGAGUAGUUGUUGUAGAAUCAAUCAUUGAUUGAAUUGUGAAGAAAUAAUUUACAAAGAUUACAAGGAACAUUUACUAGUUCAACCAAAAAUAGCUAUCAAGAGGCAUCUUUCCCACAUAUCCUUCCACCACCACAGAAGAAACAAGUUUCCAUCUUUCUAGUUAGCUCAUACAGUUUGGUAAUCCUUUCGCGAUAAUUAUGGCAGUUUGUUACCACAUAGCUGCAGCCAUCUUGGCACUUGUUUUUACUUGUUGAUGCAUCUGAUCCAGGUCCAUUGCAGGAUUUCUGUGUCGCAAUUCCUGAUGCCAAUCCUGGCGGUGGUUGUUUGGAUAGAGUAUUAUUUGAAAUAUUAUUUGGAAUAAUUACUGUAACACUUUUUGUGAUGUGAUGUAUGUGAGAUAAAAAAGUAAUUAAGAAUAUAAAAAGGUAGAUUGAAAAAUGUGUUUAUGACGUAAGCGAAAUAUUAUUUAGAAUAAUUUCACUAUCCAAACAAACCUAUUUUGGAAAAUUUCAUUACUGUCUUGUUUGUUGGGUGUGGGCCAGUCCAUUUGUGGGCCAAUUCAAAAUCCAAGUUACCAAACCUAUUAUUAGGACUUGAGGGUUUUCAAGUAAAAAAGAAUAGGAGCAGCCAUGAAGCAUUCUUUCUUUGUGUGAGAAAAGCUACAGCCGUCACUUUUGCUUGCUUGGAGAAAAACGAAAAGAGAGAGAGAGAGAAAAGAAGUUAGAGAAAGAGAGAAAAACUUCAAGAUCUUGAUUGGAGAGUGAUUCGAAAUCCGACUGAAACAAAAUUUUACCCACGCUAUCCUCUCGUCAAACUCUACUUAUCUACUAGUUCAGAUCUUGGAUUUCCUCCUCACUUGGUAACAUUUUUCCAAACCCACUUCUUUGACAGUUGUAGAUUUUUGGGGUGAUUUUAUAGCGAUUUGACUUAAUUGAUAUUGGUGGUAUUAUUGUCAUCUGGAUAUUUCAGAUAGACAUGUGUAUUUCGAUUAUUGUGAUAGUGGAGAUUUUUUGACUGGAUUAGAUCCCAUGAUUUUUCCCAAUUUGGGUUUUUUAUGUUAAAAUUUUGGUGUCCUGUGUCUUUUAUUUUUCCUGCAUUUUAUUAUCACUACUGGCAUUGUUACUUGGUGAUUUGAUUUAUUCCUAUUUUAGCGAGUACUUGGGGAAAGAGUAAUUUAUCCUGAGCUAACUCUGAUUUGUGUGCCUGCACCAGUACUCCAUCCCUUAAAAAAAAAAGACUUUUGCUCAUCCAAAUGGUAGUCCGUAUUACCAUUUCCUUCCUGCUAUUCCAUCUUACUAAGGUUGUGUUUUCAAGAUGUGCGAAUUUUUCUUUCAUAGGCAACCUAAGUUGUUACCUUGGUCAUCUUCCGUGACUCCUUGUAGCAAUUGGCUUGGAAUCCUAUGUAACAAAGCCAAAAGAUUAUCAGUUACAAACAUCAAUAGUUCCGAAAAUGCACUCUAUGGUGCCAUGCUAUGCAAACAUCUGUUUGAUAACUUAAUUCAAUACUUAACUUAAUGGAUUCAGAUCUUAAUAUAUUCAGAUAUGUUUGAUAAUAAAAAAUUGAAUAUCUAAAUUAAUUGAAUGGCACUGAAUUUCCUAAAUAAGACUUGCUCCAAAAAAUAAGUGAUAAAGUAUUUAUUUAUCAUUGAAUGUGAUAUACACUCAAAUGCAUUUGAUUUAAUACUUAACAAUUCAAUAAUUUAAUAGAUUUAGACAUCAUAUUUUUAAUUUCAGAUUUCAGUUUUUAGACUUUAGUUUUAUUCAAUGCACCCUGAGUUUCUCAAUCCCUUCUUCUUUUGGAAACCUAGCCAACUUAGCCCUUCUAUACCUUAGUAACAACAAAUUUACAGGACACAUUCCUUUAGUGCUCAAAAGAAUGGUAAUAAAAAAGAUCAAGUUGCUGAUUCCUUAAUACUGGUUUAGAAGUUUGAACUGAAACUAUGCAUUAAAUGUAAUUUCAAUGAUCUUAUUUAAUUUGUAUACUUUAUCCAAUUGUGAUAGCAUUCUUUUUCAACUUUGUAGAGACAAAAGAUCAUUCAUCCCUGAUAUGAAGUAUUACAUAAGAUGAAGUUGAAAUUUUCUGAGAUUGUGUUAAGUUGCAUUUUUUUUUCAUAGAUUUUCAUAAGAAAACAAAGAGUUCUAAUAUUCAAAAAUACAAUUUACUAAUAUUUUACUUAUAUUAAGGUACUUUAGGUAUUAUGGUUGGACCGGGAUGUCAAUGAGGGACGAAGGAACCAAUAAACACCUCACCAUCUACAUCAAUUGUUCCACUUCAAAAUGUAAAUGAUUCUAAUAAUGGAGUGGCGAGCAAUGAAUCGGAUGCCUCUAAAAAAAUUUCAAUUGAACUUGAUUCAAAUUCUAAAGAACUGGAGACCCAUACUUCUACUUCUGGUACAUGUUUUUUCCUUUAGUAUCCAAUUUUCUAAUUUAUUAUUUGUUUUUUUCCCAAUAGUGUUCAUCUUCUUAUUAGUCUAGCUCAUAGAAAGAUCAUGUGAAUUGCGAAUUGCUAGGUAGCUACAUAUUUCACAAAGUUAUAAACUACAAAGUAUUUUAUUAAUAUAAAUACCAAAAUAAAGAGUUCGCUCGUGAUUUGUUGGAAGGAACGAAAUUUAGAGAGAGAGAGUUUUGGGAAGAUUUUCUUUAUUUCUCCGAUGCAGACUAAUGAUGGUACCGAUGCCUAUUUAUAGGCUUUACACAAGAAGGUCAUUGAUUAUCCUAUCACCUAUCAAUCACUAACAGAUAUCUAUCAACCACUAAUAGAUAACAAUCAUUCCUAUCAUAUCUCUAAUUGAUAUACAUUCAAACAUUAAGAAUAUUCACGAAUCUUAUCUGAUACCAAUUACAAUUCAAUCCAACACUCCCCCUCAAGUUGGUGCAUAGAUGUCAUGCAUGCCCAACUUGCCGAGUGAGUUGUAAAAGUCCUUAGUCGGCACGGCUUUUGUGAGUAUAUCAGCUAGUUGAUCUUCAGAUCUCACAAACGGAAGCCGUAUUAUUUUUUCUUCAAGAUUCUGCUUGAUAAAGUGCCGAUCGACCUCAACAUGCUUAGUGCGAUCAUGUUGAACUGGGUUAUGGCUGAUAUCGAUAGCAGCUUUGUUGUCACAAAAUAAGUUCAUCUCAGAUCUAGGAGAAAAACCGAUAUCGGCCAUCAGCCGUUUGAGCCACAGAAGCUCACACAUACCUCUAGCCAUGCCUCUAAAUUCAGCUUCUGCACUUGAUAAUGCUACCACCUUUUGUCUCUUGCUUCUCCAAGUAACUAGAUUACCACCGACGAAUGUAAAGUAACCUGAGGUUGACUUUCGAUUGGUAGCAUCUCCUGCCCAAUCGGCAUCAGUGUAACCAUCAAUAUUAAGAUGACCAUUUUUGGAAAAUAAGAGACCCUUCCCAGGAGAACCCUUUAAGUACCGAAGAAUUCUCAUCACAGCUUCCAUGUGCCGAUUACUGGGUGAAUGCAUAAAUCGGAUGACCACACUGACAGAAUAGGCAAUAUCGGGCCGAGUAUGUGACAAGUAGAUCAGCUUACCGACCAAUCUUUGAUAUCUCUCUUUGUCAGUUGGUUUCUGAUAUGGAUAUUCUCCUAACUUGUGGCUUAGCAUAAUUGGCGUGUCAGCAGGUUUGCAAUCCAGGAGCCCAACCUCUGCCAACAGAUCAAGUACAUACUUCCUCUGGGAUAGGACGAUGCCUUGUGCCGAUCUUGCCACUUCAAUUCCCAGGAAAUACUUGAGAUUCCUUAAACUCUUCAUUUCAAAUUCAGCCGCCAGCUGGUUUUGUAGUUUGGAGAUUUCCUCUUCAUCAUUGCCUGUGAUAAUCAUAUCAUCGACAUAAAUUAUUAAGGCAGUUACCUUUCCAUGCCGAUGUUUUAGGAAAAGAGUAUGGUCGGCAUUACUCUGCUGAAAACCAUACUUCUUCAUAGCUAGCGUAAAACGGCCGAACCAAGCACGUGGUGACUGUUUGAGUCCAUACAAUGCUUUCUGUAAUCGGCACACAGUAUUUGUUUUCGAUACUGUAGAACACCCUGGUGGGAUAUCCAUGUAGACUUCCUCCUCCAGAUUCCCAUGCAGGAAAGCGUUCUUCACAUCAAACUGAUGCAACGGCCAAUCCAAAUUUGCCGCAAGAGAUAUCAGUACUCUGACCGUAUCCAAUUUAGCCACUGGUGAAAAAGUUUCUUGGUAAUCGAUGCCAUAGGUCUGAGUGUAUCCUUUAGCCACGAGACGAGCUUUAUAUCUAUCGAUUGAUCCAUCAGCCUUAUACUUGAUUGUGAAAACCCAUUUGCAUCCCACCGUCCUCUUCCCAUCUGGUAAUAGGACCAAAGUCCACGUGUCAUUUUUUUGCAAUGCCGACAUCUCAUUCUUAAUUGCUUGAGUCCAGUUUGGAUCUUUGAAAGCAGCAUGCACAUCUUUUGGAAUGUUAGUUGACGACACAUUAUUCACAAAGGCUUCAAGAGGUUCAGAUAGCCUGUGAGUGGACAUAUAAUUGGCAAUGGAAUACUUUGAUCGCUUUGCAUGACUUUCUGGAGAGUACCGAGUCGGUGGCUUACCUCGAUUGGAUCUGUCAGGUAAUACAUAUCUUGCAGUAGUAUCUAACAUAACAUUAGAAUCAGCAGGAGUACUUACCUCAGGAACAUUCUCAGGAGACAUGCAGUUAGGUACUGAAGAGGGAGGGAUUAUAUCAACAAUUUCAUCAGUAGCAUCAGCAUUUCCAUCGGCAGCUCCUCCAUCGACGGCUCCACGGACAAAAUCAAUAGGACAGCUAGCAACCGUACUUUCAUCAGCAGCUUUAUCGAUUCCAUCGGCAGUGGGCUCCGUGGGCUCGGCAAUGGGAGAAACAGUAGCUUCACCGACAGAAUCAGUGGGACAGCACGGCCAUGCUAAUCCUGGCCAAUUCUUUUCUUCUGUAUCCCUUAUCUCCCCCUGAAGGGAAGAAUUGGAUGCCGAGGAGAAAAAUGUGUCCGACUCCAAGAAUGUAACAUCCAUGGUUUCAUACAUCUUGCUAGUGGUUGGAUCAUAGCACCGAUAGCCCUUCUUGUGCACUGCAUACCCCACGAAGACACAACGAACAGCACAGGGAUCAAGCUUACUUCGUUGAUUCUUGUGCCGAUGAACAAAUGCUACACAACCAAACGCCCGUGCCGGAAGCAUUAGAACCGAUGGUAGAGUGAAAUGUUGAGACAGUGCUUGCAGCGGUGUCUGGAAGUGGAUAACUUUUGAAGGCAGUCUAUUCAAUAAAUAGACUGCUGUUGUGACUGCAUCAUUCCAAUAUCGGCGAGGAACAUGGGCACCAAUCAGUAAUGCUCUUGCUAUUUCAAGGAUAUGUCGAUUUUUUCUUUCAGCUACUCCAUUUUGCUGUGGAGUUUGGGUGUAUGAUGUUUCAUGUAUAAGACCAUUGAUAUUAAAGAACUCUUGUAGUGGCCGAUUAACAUACUCACCACCAUUAUCAGAUCGAAGAAUCUUGACUGUUGCUGAAAACUGUGUAUGAAUCAUGGAACAAAAUGACUUGAAAAUAUCAAGAACUUCAUUCUUAUGUUUCAACAAAUACAACCAAGUCAUUCGAGUACAGUCAUCUACGAAAGUUACAAACCAACGGACUCCAGUAGAUGAAGUGAUCGGGGAUGGUCCCCAAACAUCAGAAUGUACUAAAGCAAAAGGUGUAUUCGACUUAUUCAAACUGACAGGAUAUGAGGCCCUAUGACUUUUGGCUAAUACACAGGUCUCAAAUUUUAAAUCGGCAGUUUUGAUACUCGAAAAAAGUGCUGGAAAAAGGUGCUUCAUAUACCCAAAAGAAGGAUGUCCUAGUCGUUGAUGCCACAAUCGAAUCUCUCGUUCUUUGGUGUUAUCGGUACUCCUUGUCUGAUUGGCUCUACCGAUACUGAAAUCAUCAAUGUAAUAUAGAUCCCCCCUCCUAGUACCACGACCGAUUAUCUCCUUUGUGAGAAUUUCCUGAAGAAGACAGAAGGUUGGAUACAUCAGUACCAUACAGUUAAGAUCAGUAGUUAUUUGACUUACUGAUAGUAACUUAUUUGACAGUGAGGGAAUCAAUAAAGUAUUCGGUAGAGAUAAAGACGGAGAUAAAGUAACAGUUCCAGCUCCUGUAACUGGAUACUGCACACCAUUAGCAUUGGAAAUUUUCGACCGUCGUGGUUGAGUUACGGAUGAGAAGUCAGUUGGAUCAUAGGUCAUAUGAUCAGUGGCUCCUGAAUCGACAAUCCAAUUACUAUCGCGUCGAUGUGAGGAGUUCAUACCUUGAUGCUGAUUGGUAGAAGACGUAGAGUGCACCUGGGCAAUAUUGAUAUCAGCAACUGCAACGGCCACCUUUCCGUUCUGACCAGCAACAUUCAGUCGAUCAGCUUGCCAAUUUCGCCCUUUGCGCUCUUUCCACCAUGUUGGAUAUCCGUGCAGCUUGAAGCACGUAUCUUGUGUGUGCCCUUUCUUAUUGCAGUGGGCACAAUUAACUUCCUCAGUUGGCAUCUCGGCUCGGGGUACUAAAAUCGGCUCAUUCUUCCUUCCCUUGGAAGCCAUGACAGAGCCGAUUGAGUGGUCUCCCCCUGUCAUCAUCACCGAUUGUCUGCUGUCUUCUCGUCGGACAUAGGCAUAUGCCUCUUCUACUGUUGGAAAUGGUUUCAUCCGCAGAACAUCACUGCGAAUCUGGUCUAGUCGGUCAUCUAACCCAUCGAGGAAAGUGUAGACUCUCUCUUCCUGUAUGAGAGAAUUAUACCUGCUGAUAUCGGCAGCACAUUCCAUCGGGUUCGGCCGACGAAAAUCAAUCUCCCUCCACAAACCUUGCAAAUCGUUGUAGUACUUUUCGAUCAGUCCACCAGCUUGUCUCAGUCUAGUCACCUUCCGCCUCAGAUCAUACAGUUGGGAUGUAUCGGUUCCAUCAAAGUAUGUGGUAGCAAUAGCAUCCCAUACUGCUUUUGCUGUGGGAAAACGAACGAAGGUACCGAUCAAGGAUGGAGCCAUAUUAUUUAUCAACCACCCUUUCACGAUAGAGUCUUCAAUUCGCCACCGUCGAUACGCUGGAUCUGUUGGUGACGGCUGAGGGAGUUCACCAUUAAUAUACCCCAAUUUGUCCUUCCCUGAGAUAUACAUCUCGACAAUUUGGGACCAUAAGGCAUAGUUGGUAUCAUCCAACUUGAUGCCGAUCUGAGCCGAAGACGAAUCCAUGCUCGGUGUAGACUUCUGGCAGCUAUUCAGGACUUCCACCAUCCGAGUGGCAAAAUCCUCUAGAACUACGUCAGCUUGUCCUUUCCCACCGUCCGUGAGCGUAGACGAUUCGGCCAUGGCUGGUUGUUGAAGAAAUUAUCAGAGUAACACUUUGGAGCAGAGAUCCUAGAAUCCCUGCUCUGAUACCAUGUUGGAAGGAACGAAAUUUAGAGAGAGAGAGUUUUGGGAAGAUUUUCUUUAUUUCUCUGAUGCAGACUAAUGAUGGUACCGAUGCCUAUUUAUAGGCUUUACACAAGAAGGUCAUUGAUUAUCCUAUCACCUAUCAAUCACUAACAGAUAUCUAUCAACCACUAAUAGAUAACAAUCAUUCCUAUCAUAUCUCUAAUUGAUAUACAUUCAAACAUUAAGAAUAUUCACGAAUCUUAUCUGAUACCAAUUACAAUUCAAUCCAACAUGAUUCAGUUAUUGCUUUAUUAGCAUUCUCUUUUCAUCCCUCCUAUGUUUUCUUUACAUAGGGAUCACAUCAAAGAAGAGAGGUAGAGGUCCAAAUAGAGGGAUAGAACUAUCAAGAUGAGUUGAGAAAAAAGGAACGUUAGACAUACUGAUUCCUGAAGGUCUAAACAAAUCGAUAGGAAAGAACCAUAUUAAGUUGCCAAGAGAAAUUAGAUUUCUUGUUUCUGGUUAGGAGUCUUGCAACAAUGCGAGUUGCAAAUUGGUCUGAAGUUGAAGCUAAUCAGAAGAAGAAGAUAAUUAAGACUCUACUAGUAAAUCUUUAUUUGGUGCAUUGUGCUCUGUUUUUCAAUUUUAUUGUUCACAUGGAAUUAAAAUAUUUAAUCUUUUUCAUAAAAAACCAUUCUUUUCUUUUUUGUUUUCAAUUAUAUUGUUUAUAUCUUGUUUAUUAUUUCACAGAAGGCUAAAUCUAGUUGUAUGCUAGUAAGUUACUCUUAUGUUCUUUGAAUUAAAAAUUUCAUUUUACAAAAUAAGUUCAACUUGGAUUUGACCAAAACCCAUGUUAAGAGCUACAUAGAAGAUACUAUGAAGAGGGCAUGGCAAGAUUGUCGUUCCAAGGCUCAUUUGCACUGCAAAGCUUUAGGUUGUGGAGAAAGUGGAAGACAAAAUCCAUAUAAAAUUUUUCUAAACCGUCCAAUUGAUUGGCAAUGGUUGUGUGAUUAUUUUAAUUUUGAAGCAUUUAAGGUAACUAUUAUUGGACCUUUAUUUUCAAGUAUUUUUAAAGAUUAUCUUUGACAUCCAUUGAUUUUAAAUGAGAUUAUUAUUUAUAUUCUCUGCAGAAAAUUUCUAUAAGGAAUUCACAAAAUAGGGCUUGUCCAGAACCAGUUUUUGGAAGAGCAGUUAGACAAGCCCUAUUUUGUGAAUUCCUUAUAGAACUUUCAGCAAAGAAUGUAAAUAACAAUAUCUUUUAAAAUCAAUGGAUGUCAAAUAAAAUUUUUAAAAAGUAUUUGAAAAUAAAGGUCCAAUAAUAGUUAUCUUAAAUGCUUAAGAAUCAAAAUAAUCAUACAACCAUUUCCAAUCAAUUGGAUGGUUUAGAAAAAUUUCAUAUAGAUUUUGUCCACCAUUUUCUCUACCCCUAAAACUUUGUAGUGCAAAUGAGCCUUGGAAUGACAAUCUUGCCAUGCCCUCUUCAUAGCAUCUUCUAUAUAGCUCUUAACAUGGGUUUUGGUCAAAUCCAAAUUGAACUUAUUCUGUAAAAUAAGAUUUUUAAUUAAAAGAACAUAAGAGUAACUUACUGGCACACAACUAGAUUUAGCCUUUUGUGAAAUAAUAAACAAUAUAAUUGAAAACAAAAAAAAAGGAAGUGAUUAUCAUGAAAAAGAUUAUAUAUUGUAAUUCCAUGUGAACAAUAAAAUUGAAAAACAGAGCACAAUGCACCAAAUAAAUAUCUACCAGUAGAGUCUUAAUUAUCUUCUUCUUCUGAUCAACUUCAACUUCAGACCAAUUUGCAACUCGCGUUAUCGCAAUACUCCUAGCAAGAAAUACAAUUUCUCUUGGCAACUUAGUAUAGCUCUCUCCUAUUGGUUUGUUUAUAACAUCAGGAAUCAGUAUGUCUAACUUUCCAUUUUUCUCAACUUGUCUUGACAGGUCUAUUCCACUAUUUGGACCUCUACCUCUCUUUUUGAUGUGAUCCCAAUGUAAGAAAAACAUAGGAGAGGUGAAAAGAGAACAUUAAUAAAGGAAUAACUGAAUUACAAGCGAACUCUUUAUUUUAGUAUUCAUAUUAAUAAAAAUAUUUUGUACUUUAUCACUGUUGUGAAAUAUGUUACUACCUAGCAAUUUGUAAUUCAUAUGAUUUUUCAAUGACUAGACUAAUAAGAAGAUCAACACUAUUGGGAAAAAACAAAUACAGUAAUAAAUUAGGAAUUUGGAUACUAUAGAAAAAACAUGUACCAGAAGCAGAAAUAUGGGCCGUCGUUUCUUUAGAAUUGGAAUCAAGUUCAAUUGAAACAUUUUCAAAGACUUCGGAUGCAUUGCUCACCACUCCAUUAUUAGAAUCAUUUGCAUUCUGAAGUGGAACAAUUGAUGUAGAUGGUGACAUAUUUGUAGGUUCCUUCACCCUAGUUGAUGUCCCGGUCCAGCCAUAAUAUCCAAAGUACCUUAAUAUAAGUAAAAUAUUAGCAAAUAGUAUUUUUUGAAUAUUAGAACUCUUUGUUUUCUUAUGAAACUCUAUUAAAAAAAUGUGUAACAUAACACAAUCUAAGAAUUUUUCAACUUCAUUUUAUACAAUACUUCAUAUUAAGGACGAAUGAUCUUGUCUCUCUACAAAGUUGAAAAAGAAUCAUGUCUCAAUGCAACUUUAGCAAAAUGUAUAGAAGUUAUCGCAUGGCCUAUGCAAAUUUCACGGACCAUCCAAUUGAUUUACGACUUAAUGCUAGCCAGAAAAAUGUACAAGCAUUUGGAUAGUGAACAAGUUAGUGAAUAAAAGAAGCAAGCAACAAAUUUUAUGCAAAUUUAUUUUGUUCUUUUUAAUUCUUAGUGAUAGUGAAGCAUGUGCAAAAGUUGUGAAUGGAAUAUCUAAAUAAGAUGCAGUUUUUAUUCUACUGACCCACGAACAAGGGAAACGACACAAUUUCUUGUCAACUAUUUUUACCCUCCUCUUUUGUCUGCUUCCACAGUCCAAACCAAAUCCAAGAAUAUAGAAAGAGUAAAAAAACGUCAUGUUUCUGUGUUUUCCCCCCUCACUCUAGUAAGGCAAGACCUAGAUCCAUCCAUUUACCUCUCUCGUAGCAAAAAGUACCACUUAUUACUUUACUUCUCUUAGAUAAUUGUUCCAGUUUAAAAUAAGAGAUCAAACAGUAAUAGAAAUACACCAGCGCUUUACAUGAAUGAUCACCAUAUUUAGAUAUCUGACAUGGUAUUUUAGUUGCAAAUAAUCCAUGCCUUUCAAGAGAAUGAAAGAAAUUGCAAAGAUUAAAAAAAAACAGUGUAUAAAAGGUAAACAUAGACAACGGCUCAUUAGCAAACUCAUUGUUUAGCAUUACAGAGACUUGGACUGCAAACGAGUCAAGUCGAGUCGAGUUUUGGUCUAAUCGAGUUGAGUCUUGACAUAAUUUUAGUGAACUCGAACUCGACGAGCCAAUAAUUUAAAGCUCGAGCUUGAACUCGACUUGAUUCAAGCUCGAACUCGAAAAAAAUAAAAAAUAAUUAUUUUAUUUUUUUAAAAAUAAAUAAUAUAAUAUUUUUUCUUAAUAAAUAAUAAAAUAUUAAGGAUAUAUAUGUAAUUAUACUAUUAAAAUAAAAAAUAAAAAAUAUAUAUACUUAAAAUAAAAAAAAUAAAAAAUAUAUAUAUACUUAAUAUAUAUAUAUAUAUAUAUAUAUACUCGACCGCGAGCCGACUCGGGAGCUAACGAGUUUAAUAUUUUGAACUCGAGCUCGAGUCGAGCUGCUCGCGAGUCUCGAUCUCGAUUCGUUUGCAGCCCUAACAGAGAGUCUGCAAUGAAUCUAAGUUUCAAUAAUGUCAUAGUCUAUUUCUCUCAAAGUCCAUUAUGUAUUUAUGUAACGCACCUAAAGUCAGACAGUCCAAACAAAGCAACAAUCUCAAUAAGAUGGAAUAGCAGGAUGUUAGGGUGGCUGUUUAUAUUUAACUUUUGGUGAAAACUAUCACAUAUUAAACCCAAAAUCUAUAUAGCGAUUAUUAAGAAAUAAAUUAACAGUAAAAUUGCGGAAGCGUAUUUUGAUUCAUGUUGACAAACUGGUAUUUGAAUCCUUAGAGAUUUUGGGGUGGCCUUCCAAAUUAACAUGUAUUUGCCAAUCCUUAAGAGAGUUCUUUAAUUUCUUUCUGGUAUUUUUUCUGAUGAUGGGAUAUCAAAAAAGAAUUAUUUUAUCAUACUAGAAAAUACGAUAAUAAAAAUACAUUUGACUUGGGGACCAUAGUCCUAUUCAUAGAUAACAUUCCUGUUACCUUUUAGAUUCUUAUUUCAACUCAUCAUAGAAUAUGAAAUACACUUAAAUCUCUAUACGUUAAAAGCCCACACCUUAUUAGAUACAUCAAGUUCAAACCAUAUUUGAUCACUUUAAUUGGAUUUAACCUUAUUUGAUAGUUUACAACACAUAAUUAUUCACAUAUAAAUCCAACAUUGGAUUAAGGAUCCAACAAUCUCCCACUUGGACUAUAUGUGUAACCUUAUAAUUAUGUUUUGUAAUUAAUUAUAUGAGUUCAAUUUUACUAUCAUUACCAAGGUAUAUCGAUAGUAAAUUCGAUCCAUUAAUUACACCAACAUACGAUCAAAGUGGCAUUUGCUACAAUUUCGUAACUCGACCCAUCAAUGAUCACGUAUAUUGAUAUAAUUGAAUGACAUGAAUCAUGAUGUGGAUGUGUAGCUAAAAAUUUCAUGUAAUGUGAUCAUAAUAUGUCUAUUUUCAACUGGUACACCUUAAAUUUUCAUGAGAUUAAACCAUACCAAAAUCAGAGUGUAAAUAAAUUUAAACUUUAUUUAUGCAUAAAAUAUUUUUAAAACAUUAAUAAAUGAAAAAUAUAGUAAGAGCAUUUAAAAUAAUAAACUCUCACUAAAACUGUACAUCAUUUAAUAACAUGAUACCCAUACGAGCAGUAUGCUCAUGAAAUAUUUUGGGUGGCAAUCCCUUAAUAAGCGGAUCCACAACCAUGGAGUUUGUCCCGAUAUGCUCUAUUGAUAACUAUCCAUUCUGUACUUUUUCUUUAACAGUCAAGAACUUGAUAUCUAUAUGUUUAGAUUUUAUCGAAUUCCUGUUAUUAUUGAAAUAUAGAAUUGCUGACUUAUUGUCACAAAAUAAUUUGAGUGGUCUUUCAAUACUAUUCACUAACGUAAUUCUAUGAAAAAAUUUAAUAGCCAAAUUUCAUGGUUUGAUACCUCAUAGCAAGUUAUAAAUUCUGUAACCAUAGUAGAAGAUACUAUAAGAGACUGUUUAACACUUUUCCAAGAUAUGACACCCCCAAUUAGCCAAUAGAUAUAGUCUGACGUUGAUUUCAUGCUAUCUUGACAUCUAACAUAAUCGAAAUCAGUAUAUCCAAUGAUUUCGAAUUUAUCUGACCUCCGAUACGUGAGCAUGUAAUCUUUUAUUUUCUGUAAAUAUCACAAGACCCGUUUGAUUACCUUCCAAUGAUCUAAUCCAAGAUUGGUUAAAUAUCGACCCAAUAUCCCAAUAAUAUACGCAAUAUUUGGACGUGUACAUACUUGAGUAUAUAUAUUAGACUCCCUACUGCUGAUACAUAAGGAAUUCUUUGUAUUUUCUUUUUUUCAAAAGCAUUUUUAGAACACUAGUCGAGACUAAAUUUGUCUCCUUUAGCCACAGGAGUGUUACCUGAUUUAUAAUUUUGCAUGUCAUAUUUUUUAAGAAUCUUUUCGAAAUGGUCCUUUUGCGAUAGUCCCAAAAUACGCCAAGUGUGAUUUCGAUUUAUCUGUAUGUCUAACACAAAAGAUGUAUCGCCAAAAUUUUUCAUCUCAAAAUUCUUAGUUAGAAAUCUUUUGAUUUCAUACAAUAGACCUAUAUCAUUGUUAGCAAACAAAAUGUCAUCAACAUUUAAUAUCAGAAAAAUAUACUUACAGCCACAGAACAUAUGGUAUAUACAAUCAUCUACUAAAUUCAUGUCAAAAUCAAAUGAGAUGAUCAAUUGAUGAAAUUUGAAAUACCAUUGUCGAGACUCUUAUUUGAGCUCAUAGAUAGAAUUUUUAAGUUUACAAAUCAUAUUUUUUGGAUCUUCUGAUACAAAAUUUUCUGGUUGCAUUAUGUAAAUCGUUUUAUCAAUAUUACCAUUGAGAAAUACUAUUUUUACAUCCAUCUGGUGUAACUCAAAAUUGAAAUGCGCCACUAAUGCCAUGAUAAUUUUAAAAGAGUUCUUUGAAAAGAUUGGAAAGAAGAUUUCUUUAUAGUCGAUACCUUCUUUUUGUGUAAAUUUCUUAGAAACAAGACAAGUUUUGUAUCUUUUUACAUUAUUUUUUGAAUUUCUUUUGAUUUUAAAUAUUCAUUUACAAUUAAUAGGUUUCGCACCUUUUGGCAAUGGGACAAAAUCCCAGGCAUCAUUGCCUUUCAUGGAUUUAAUCUUUUUAUUCAUGGCAUCGAUCCAUUUUUUAGAAUUUAAAUUUUUCAUGGGUUGAUGGAAGUUGAUUGGAUCAUCUUCCAUCAAUCUAGUGUCAUUCUCAUAUUUUUGGAGAAAAAUAAUGUUAUCAUCUGGCACUGCAUUUCUCUUUUUUCUAGUGAAUUUUCUUAAUAGCACUGGUUCUUUAAGGGGGAGAGUUUGUUCUUCAAUAACAAUUUAUUUUUCGAUAUUGUCUUGAUUUGUUAUGUUAUGAUCAAGGUCAGGAAUGCAGUGCCAGAUGUAAUCAUCUGGCACUGCACUUCUAAAAGAUCAGAAAUAAGCUUUCUUUAUAAUUGAUACUUUCCUUUUGUAUAAAUUUCUUAGUAACAAGACGAGUUUUGUAUCUUACUACAUUGCCUUUCGAAUCCUUUUUAAUUUUAAAUAUUCAUUUACAAUUAAUAGUUUCGCAUCUUUUGGCAAUGGGACAAGAUCUCAGACAUCAUUGUCUUUCAUGGAUUUAAUCUUUUCAUUCAUGGCAUCGAUCCAUUUUUGAGAAUUUCAACUUUUCAUGACUUGACGGAAGUUGAUUGGAUCAUCUUCCAUCAAUCUAGUGCCAUCCUCAUAUUUUUGGAGAAAAAUAAUGUAAUCAUAUGGCACUGCACUUCUCCUUUCUCUAGUGGAUCUUCUUAAUAGCACUGGUUAUUUAAGGGGGAGACUUUGUUCUUCUAUAACAGUUUAUUUUUCGAUAUUGUCUUGAUUUGUUAUGUCAUGAUCAAGGUCAGGAAUGAGAUCAUGAAUAAGAUCAAUGACACCUGUGAAAAUAUUGAUAUAUUCCUCUUUAAAGAUAAGGUUCCUUACUGUAUUUUCUCUUCCAAACUUGACAUUCUCAAAGAAUCGAGCAUUUCCUUUCUCAAAAAUCGAUUUAGUCGUGGGAUUAUAAAACUUGUAAUUUCUGAAUCUUUCAGAAUAUCUAAUAAAAUAACAAUUAACCGUCCUUGAAUCCAGUUUCUUUUCAUUUGGUUUAUAAGGCCUUGUCUUAGUUGGACAUUUCCAAACACGUAAAUGCUUCAAACUAGACUUUUUUCCUGUCCAAAACUCAUAAGGGGUUUUAAUAGUUGCUUUAGUUGGAACACUAUUAAGGAUAUAUGCUGCAAUCUUAAGUGCUUCUUCUCAAAGUGACUUUGGUAAGGUAGAAUAACAUAUCAUACUCCUUAUCAUAUCUUUAAGUGUUCUAUUUCAUCUUUCAACUACACCAUUCAUAGUGGGUAAAUUCGGUAUAGUGUACUAUUGGACGAUACCACAUUCUUCUAGAUAUUUAGCAAAUGGUCCUGAACGUUGUUCAUCUGAACCGUCAUAUCUACCAUAGUACUCACCACCAUGGUUAGAUCUGACGCUUUUAAUUCUUUUGUUGAGUUGGUUUUCAACUGCAGCCAAAAAUUUUUAACACGUCCAGUGACUGUGAUUUUUCAAAAGUGAGAUAUAUGUAAUCAUAUCUUGAAAAAUCGUCUAUGAAAGUUAUAAAAUGUUGUUGACCAUUCCAAACAGAUGUAGAAAAUGACCCACAAAUAUCUAUAUGUAUAAGUUUUAAGACGUCUAAGGACCUAUUGGUUUCAAAUCUCCUUUUAUUGGUUUAUUUUCCCUUUAUACAAUUAACGCAAUCAUCCAAAUUUGUAAAAUUUAAGGGAUCGAGAAUUUCAUUUGAUACAAAUCUUUCCAUUCUCCGUUUGAAGAUAUGUCCCAAUCUUUUGUGUCAUAAUGCAAAUGAAUUUUCAUUGGUGAAUUUUCUCUUUACUCCUCUAGUACUCAAAUGCAGAGAUUUAUUAAAUGAGACAAUUGUAUCAAUUAAAUAUAGAUUAUCGUAGUGCAUCAAAGAACUAGAACCAACUAAUUUUGAAUCAUGAAACAAUUUAAACUUUCCAUUUCCAAAUGAACAAAAUAUUAAAUUUGUCCAAAAUAGAAAUAGAAAUCAAAUUUCGUCGAAGAGACGGUACCACAAAUGUUUCAUUAAAAUCUAAAUAAAAUCUGGUCUUUAAUAAUAGUCUAAAAAUUCCUAUUGUUUCAACUUGAACUGUUUUGCCAUCGCGUACGUAGAUAUAUCUUUCAUUAUCAUUAGGUUCUCGACAAUUCAGACAACCCUACAUAGACACACUGAUAUAAGUUGUUGCAUCAGAAUCUAACCACCAUGUGUGUCGAGAUACCGAAAUUAAAUUAAUCUCAAAACAAACCAAAUUAAGAAGGAUACCUUUCUUAGCACGCCAAGCGUGAUAGUUGGUGCAAUUAUUCUUUUUAUGCCCUUCAGUUCUACAGAAGAAAAAACCAUUCUUUUCUUGAUCAACUGAUUUCUUUUGUUGUUUCUUUUGUGGUACCAUACCUGCAGUUUUUUUAUAUUUCUUUCUGUUAAGUCCCUUGCUUUUGAGACAUUUUCAUCAUGUAUUCUCUGAUAUUACUUUUACCACUAUAUUUUAUUGAAACUAGGCGUGUCAAUAGCGUACUAAUUUUAGUCUUUUCGUUCUUGACAAAUCUUUUUUCAAUGUCAUGAAGGAACUCUUUAGCGGUUACUGUUAUUUCUGACAUUGUUCCUCUGAAUGCUUUUGGAACGGCUUUUUUAAUGAUUAUCAGACACAAGCGAUUUGAUCUCUCCUACUUUUUCUUAUCUCUCUUUUCAUCAAAGGUACUUUGAUUUGUAAGAGUUGGGGAAGAAUCAUCUCUUAACGCAAGGUCGAGAUCCAUUACUUCAAGUACUAUAAAGAGAUUUUCUUUCCAAAACUUGAAAUUUGUGCCAUUCAGCAUAAGAAUAUUAUUGAUGUCAGUAAUAAUAUUCGUAAGAUCAUUCGCAACUGAACACAAAACAUAAAAUAAUUAAAACAACCUCACAUAGACUAAAAUAAUAAUAAAUUCAAAUAAUGGUAACCCCAUCUCAAGAUAUCGAUGUUUCAUUAAUAUUUUAUUUUUAGACAAAAAUAUUAACUUUUAACUGAUAUCUUGGUGCAGUAAUAAAUACUGACAAUAAAAACAUGUCAAAAAAUAAAUUUCCUUUAAGCUAAUUUAUAAUUUACAUAUAAAAAAUCAAAUAAUUAUCACGUAUUUAUUAUCACAAGUGCACAUGUAAUUUUGUUAAACAUUGACUUUUCUUUGGGCUAAUCAAUAUUAGCAAAAUUACAAGUACCCAACUAAUUAUAUUCUAGAACAAAUUAAUUUUCACAAAAGAGGUCACUUUGGUGGCAUAUUGUUUCAAUUAAUUUAUUCUAAAACAUAUAUAAUCAUACCAAUAUUCAAAUUUAAAAUUACACAAAUUACACAAAAAUUUUGAUCAAAGUCAACUCUGGUCAAAACGUGCUAAACUUGGUCAAACCAGUCAAUUGGAUCAAGACUUAUCGGGUCAAAAGUCCAUAUCCAUAAUUUGACCCAAAUUUAUCAUUCAAACCCAAAAUUUUCUUAAAAUCGAUAAAUACCUUAUAAAACUAUAUAUUUAGUGGGCCAAUUUUACGGACUUUAUAAGACUUAAAUAUCUUAUUUAACUUUAUUAUGAUUCAUUUAAAUUAAAGAAACCUUAAUUUUCUUAAUAUAAGUAUAGGCAUAUUAGCUCAAUUAUCCAAGAAAACAAGUCAAAGAAUUCAAGUAUUAACCAAAUUAAUUUUAUGGACAGAACAUUGAAACUCAGAAUGUUUUCUUGUCAAUUUUAAUUCUUAAGAGUAGGGAAAAUGACGAACGACUUCCCAAAACCAAAAACCAAAUUAGCUUACAUCAUAAAAAACAUGCGGAUCCCACAAAACAUCAUUUAUGCUAACCGAUUAAGAGUUUCACAAAAUUGUAUUCAUGCAUUCUUUCUUAUUAAUUUUAAACCUUAAAAGUAGGGAAAUUAAAAGAAACCCCAUAUCUGCUAACUAAAGUUUGACCAAGACGAGAUCCACUGCAUUAUAUGAAACCAAAACAAUGAAUCAACAUAACUGACAUCAUAGCAAUCAUGUGAAAAGCCGAAACAGAAGCCAAAACAUGAAACAAAAAUUGGUUGGCCACGAAUAGGGUCUGGAUUCAUUGGCCAUGCAGCAAAACCAAAAGUAAUUGCAAUUCUUUAUUAAAAAAUCAAAAACUAUGAAUUAUUAAAUCCAAAUUAUUUUCUAAUAAUCAAGCAUAUCCUGCUCUGAUACUACUUGUUAGAGUGGUUGUUUAUAUUUAACUUUUGGUGAAAACAAUUACCUAUUAAAUCUAAAAUCUAUAUUGCGAUUAUUAAAAAAUAAAUUAACAAUAAAAUUACGAAAGCGUACCUUGAUUCAUGUUAACAAACUGGUAUUUGAAUCCCUAGAGAUUUUGGGUUAGCCUUCCAGAUCAACACGUAUUUGCCAAUCCUUAAGAGUACCCUUUAAUUUCUCUCUGGUAUCUUUCUUGAUGAUGGGAUAUCAGGAAAGAGUUAUUUUGUGGUACUGGAAAAUACGAUAAUAAGAAUACGUGACUUGGGGACCAUAACCCUAUUUAUAGAUAACAUUCCUAUUAUCUUUUGAAUUCCUAUUUCAGCUUAUCAUACAAAUAGAAAAUACUCUUAAAUCUCUAUACAUUAAAGGCCCACACCCUAUUAGAUACAUCAAUCCCAAAUCAUAUUUGAUUAUUUUAAUUGAACCUAACCUUAUUUGACAGUUUGUAACACAAUUAUUCACAUAUAAAUCUAACGUUGGAUUAAGGAUCCAACACAGGAAAGAAGUGGUAAUACGGACUACUAUACAACCAUUUAGAUGAGCAAAAUUCUUUUUUUUUUUUAAUAGGGAUAGAUAAGCAAAAGUCAAACAAUAGCAGCUCCAACAAGGCAUUUAACAAACAUAUAAAUUUAAUAUGUCAAUGAAUCUCAAACAAGGAAUUCAACGUGUUUACACAAGAUUAGGAACCCAAUUACAAGUCAGAAACUCCUGGGAGAAUAUCUAAAAAAAGGGAAGGCUUAUUUUAUAGAAGUAAUGAAUACUUACCUUUGAGAAGUGGGGAAAGAGGGAAUUAAGUUCGGAGACAAUGGAUAUAAAUAUGCUCUUAAUCUUUGAGCCGGAAAAUCCAUUGCAAUUUGUCUGCCAAAUUUUUGAUGGCAAUUGGAAUGUUUUUGGAGGGAUGAAAUACUAGGGAGAAUGUUUUCGGAGGGAGAAUGCAUUAAGGAGAAUUUACGAUAUUUUCCUAUCAUCUUGUAGGGUUUUAAGCAUGACUAUACCCGGUUUUAAGCAUGAAUAUACUUCGAGGUUAUGUAACUAAAGAAAAGUCAUUUUUUGCUUUUUAUGUUUGAACAUAAAUUCAUCCCAUUGGUACCUUUUUAUAUAUUAAAUAAGGAUUGCUUAAAAUUAAUGGUGAUUAUAUGUCAAGCAUGGAAUAGUAUUAACAUUAUUUCUUUAGUGUGACUAUACCUCCAAGUUACGUAACAAAAGCAAAGUCAUUUUUUUUCUUCUUAUGUUUGAGCAUAAAUUCGUCUUGGUUCGUAUCUUUUUAUAUAUUGGAUAAAGAUUGCUUAAAAUUAAUGGUGAUGGUAUGUCAAGCAUGGAAUAAUACUGAUCUAAAGUCAAGAAUUAGAGGUCCUAGAUUUUAAUCUCCUGUCCCGCUCGUUUCUUAAAUCCUAUCCCUCAAGACCCAGCUUGGAAAAAAAAACAAAAUCUAAAGUCAGUUUUUUUUUAAAAAAAAAUCUAAAGUCAGCAUAGAGCAUGCAAAUUAUUAUGGGAUAAUUUCAGAAACUUCCACUGAGAUUUAUGACAAUUUCAUUGUGCUCCAUUGAGCUUUUAAAAUUACACCGACCUCUCCUAAUUUGACACUUUAAAUAGUACUUUAUUAGCGACAUAGAUUCUUUAUAAGAUGGGAAAGAAAGUGGCACCAUAAUUUGUUAAAGUUUGUGGAUUAAUCAGAUGGUGUAACUGCCAUAGUUUUUGUUUGUGAUUUUGGACCAUUUUAUUUGUCAUUGUUGAUUUUUUUAUUUUGAUAAAGAAAAGCUAGAAGAUGAUAUUCAAAGUUAUAAUGAAAAAAUGUUACUAUUUUCGCAUUUGACCACGACAGAGGCCAAGGACAACAUCAAUAUUUUUGUGGUUUAACUGAGUAUUCUUAUAAUAACUAAGUUGUGACUGUCCUCACUCUUCGUUAUUGUGGAUUAUUACUCAUUAAAAAUUUCUUUAAUUAUGUUGGUGAGUAAGGCAACUAUUUUUAGCUAGAAAUUUUCUUCUAUGAAAUGUUAAAAUGUAAACUAAUAAAAUUUAGUUUGACCCCUCCAACUUUAUUGCCAUGAUUUAAAUACAACUAAUAUUACACAAUAAUAGGAAAUUACUUGUAAUGAAGUGGGACAUUUAGUUCUUAAUGUAUAAAAUUCAUCUCAAAUUAAUCCAUAAAGUUAAAAUCAUAUCUACUUUUAGACUCCAAAAUAUAAAACUAGUCCUACUUUAGUCCCUAAAAUACAAAAUAAUUCUUGCAUAGGUAUAUAGUUUGUCUCACUUCCUUCAAAUUUUUUUUUUUUACUUAAGUGGGAUAUAUUUUAUACCUUUGCGUCUUAAAUGUUGAACUAGGGACUUCUUUGUCAUCAAACUAAUAUUCUCACCAAGAAAGUUGGGACUUGGGAUACCCAUGUAAGACUUAAAAUCUCUCUUAGAAGGAAAAAAAUGUCAUUAAAUUUUUUUGAGUCUCCCUAAGUUCUAAUUAGAAUAGAAAAUAUUGUUGUAUUAUGAGUGUCUUGAUAAGUGUUUAUUAAAUAGGUUUUUAAGUAGCAUUAGUUGUUUACUUUUGGUAUAAAUUAGGAUUUUGCAGUGUAACUUGCUCUCUAAGUCUCUAAAUUUUGCGAAUUUCAUUUGAGCAGUUUAAUCUGCAAAUUUGAUUAUAUUUGCAAGAUUUGAGAAGUGUUAUAAACGUUGGAUCAAGAAGGAUUCAUUCAACUCCAUUAGUGCAUGAUUCAAUGAUGAUUUGGAAAGUAAUCGGGCGUCAAAAGCAAGUAUUAUUGGUGCAACACGUGUACAAAAAUGUGGAGCCCUUGUUUUUUUAUCUUAGUGGUGAAUUGGAGCAGAAAAGAAUCAAGAAAACAUCACUGAACUGAAAAUGUGACCUCUAUUUUCUGCAAUUUAUUCUGCAACUUGUCCUAUUUUCACACAAUUUGCUAGCUCAAUUCCAGCAAAGAAUUUCGGCUGCACAUGCUCAAGAAUAUUUUGGGAAGUGCAUAGGAAGCUUUAUGUCAUUUCAUUAAGCACUUUUGACUCUUUUAACAAUUAUAUAUGUAAGAAUCAUUGAAAGAGAAAGGAGAGUAGUCUAGAAUAGUUUUAGAACAAGCACUUAGUUAUUUUUCUUUUCUUAGGAGAGAAACUUGUAAGAAACACUUGGAGAUUUCAUUGUACAACUCAUUUCACUACAAGAAAAAGGGUCGUCAGUGACAAUAUUUUUUAGUGAAGACAGAAAGUUGUCAUAGAAUAAGGCUCUUUAGACACAACAUUGAAGGUUGUCACAAUUGACUCAACGUAGCUAACUGUUCAGUGAUGAGCCCUAAUUGUCGUCACAAAACUACUUCGUGCCAUGAGACUUUGAAAGCGCGGGUUUUACAAUAGUGAUAACUUAAUAAAAGUUGUCAGUAUUUCUACUUCUUUCUUUGACAACUUUUCAUUGUUGUCACUGUAUAAGUUUACUGACGACCCAUUAUUGUCAGUAAAUCUAUGGUGCAGUUAGUGACAACACCAUAUCAUCACUUACCUUAACAUCUCCAAGGUCAUUGUUUAAUUGUGAACCUCAAUAUCAAUUUAAUUUUCUUGUAAAUUUGGCGAUUUAUUGAACUAGUCAUAGUUACUCAAACUGUAAUAGAUUUUUAACUGAAAAAUUAACGAAAGUUUCUAGUUAGAACAGCUAUAUAAACCAUUACAACCUGAGCAAGAGUACUUUUACUAAUUGUUUGAAUUUAGCAAAAUUUUCCACCCAUUACAAUUUUUAAUAAAUAUAUUAAGAAAUAGUUAUUAGAAAUAUAUUAGUAAGGGAGGGGGAAUGGAUUUGGUGAUUCGGGGGAGGGAGUGUAAAUAUAUUAGUAAAUUGACUUAAAACGAACAAUUGACUUAAGGGAAAAUUGCAGAAACCUUCCAUGAGGUUUGUGAUACUAGCACUCACCUCCCCUGCGGUUUAAGAAAUAGCACUGAUAUCUCUUGAACUUACUGAUUCUGUUGCAUAUUUAGUCCAAGUUAGAAAAAGUGCCAUUAAAAUAUUGCUUUAAGGAGUGAGAUGAGAAACUGUGCCAGAUUUGCCCUUUGUGCUACAUGCCAAGUAGAAUUAGCAAAUGAAUGACAAAGCACUACAAAAUAAUUAACAAUUAAUAAACUUCAAGAGGUGUAGUUUAUGGGCAAAUAGGCAUUACUUAUUGAAAGUACUAGUUCUUUAUGGGCAUUUUACUCUCAAACAUUUAAUUUAUGAUAAAUACAUCAAUUUUUGUAAGUAAAAUUCAAAAAGUGUUACAGUAAUAUUCUUACAAAAAGGAAACAGGCAUGUUAUCUAUUUAAUACAAAUUAAAUAUUUUAAAAAAAAGAAAUGGCCCAUAAAGUAUUAACUCUUUAUGGCUUUCCUCCAUUACAUGAACAAGUAUCGGCUCUUUAUGGGUAUUUUAUUUUGAAUCAUUUUAUUUAUGUUAAAUACAUAAAUAUUUGUAACUAAAAUUAAAAAAGUGUUACACUAAUAUUUUUAUGAAAGGGAAACUGGUAGGUUUUGUAUUUAACAAAAAUUAAAUAUGUGAAAGUAAAAAAAGAAAUUGCCCCUAACAUACCAGUUCUUUAUGGGUCUCCUCGAUUACAUGAAUAAAGCACUAGUUAUUUAUGGACAUUUUACUCUGAAUUGUUUAAUUUAUGUUAAAUAUAUAAAUGUUUGUAAGUAAAAUUCAAAGUGUUACACUAAUAUUUUUAUGAAAGGGAAACUGGUAGAUUUUGUAUUUAACAUAAAUUAAAUAUAUGAAAGUUAAAAAAGAUAUUGCCCAUAACAUACCAGCUUUUACAAUGGCAGCCAGAUAUAUUUUGUUAGUUAAUUCUUAUUUUGCCCAUAACAUACCAGAGGGGAGAAUAUGCACGAUCAAGCUCGUGCUUAUACAAUGGCGGCCAAAUAUAUAUUGUUAGUUAAUUUUUUUAAAAUUCAAGCAUAACUUUUAGAAUUAAUCUUUCAUAUACUAUCAAUAUAUACAUUGACGGGGUUGGAUGAAUGCCACAUCAUAUGAAUUUAAAUUUAAACAACAAAUUUUAUAUAUGUGUCAUGCAUCUAGACCCACUAGUGAAUACACUGUCAGUGUAUAAAAGAUUUACUCUAACUUUUAUAAGUCACGUGCAAACCAGGGGAUAGCCCACGAGGACAAAACCAUAGUCAUACAAAACAAUAUAAAACAAACACAACAAUACAGCAACUUGAAAUUACAGACUAAACAAUCAAGUGAAAAUUUGUUGAGUCGGGUCCCAACUAAGACUAAACUCGUAAUCCUCUUGGAUCUUUGCAUGUUAACUACUUAGUUUAUGUAAUCACGAGUUACUGCACAAUUGUAACUUUAAUGAUAGAACUCCCUAUUAUCCUGAGGUUGGUUCAACCAGUAGAAGUAACUCUAAUGAUAUAACUUCCUAUUAUCUUAAGCUCGGUUAGAUGUACAUUGGGCUAGUUUUUGUAAUAAAGAGUUACUACACAAUUGUAAUAUCGAAUGAUAGAAUUCCUAUUGUGUACGUUCAUAUGUACAGUGUUGAAUGGUUUAUUUGAGCCAAUUAAAUGUCUCCUUUAAUUUUUUUUUUUUUUUAACAUCUGGGAAAUUGAUGCGAACUCGAUUCUCCAAACUCCAGCUCUCGAAGAAACGAAUUGCACAAGCAGCGGAAGGAUCUAUCUCGACCAGGUGAUGGAUACAAAGAUGGAACAACCUUGACUCUUCUAACUCACAAAAUUGUGAAUCUUGAAUCUAAUCGCGACCCACAACUCAACAAGAUAGCGAAGCAAAAUGUGUUGGUAGAAUGGCGCCACAAUUUAACGUGGUCUUGAAUUGAUAAGUCAAAAUUGAACAAAGGAAACACAACUCACUUUGUAUCAAAGGACGCUUCCAAAGGAACAAGAAAGAGAAAAACUCUCAAUUUUUAUUCAUCUCAUAAUUGUCUUACCUCCCUUUUGAAAAAUAUCAUAAGCUUGGCUAUUUAUAGCCUUACAAGAAUCAAAAACCUAAUCUAAGUUGGAAACAAUACAAGUUUUCUUAUUUGACUUGGCUUCUAAACUUGACACAACUUCCUAAACAAAUUUGGAAGCAAUUAACUAUUUUCCUAAAACUCUAACUAGACUAGAAUAGGAAACUAACUAACUCAAAUUGGCUUAACUGUGAUCAACAUGACCUUAGCCUUUAUUCCCUAAUUCAAACAACUUACUUAACUCUUAAAUUAACUCUAAUUAACAACUAACAUUGCUGAAAACUCAAUUAAAUAAAUGAUAACAAGAAAUAAGCAUGACACAGGUUUGGAUCUUCAAUGAUUCUUGAGCCCAAUAACCAUUAUUAGAAUGUGAAGACUUGUAAAAUGAAUUUCCCUGGAUUUGAAUCAUUGGAUCCCAUUUUCGCAUCAGAAAUGAUCAGUCUUGGGAUGGAUUCUAUUGUUCACUCCUGUAAUAUUCUUAUUGGGGACAAAAUUGACAAUGAAUUUUAUUAAUUAAGACAGUAUAAUAAACAAAUGAAACUUAUUUUGUAGUUUUAAGAUUGUUGUAAUGCUAAAUAAAAGUCAUGAAAAAGUAGUAAUUGUAUUAUUCAAUUGACUAGGCAACAAUAUACUAAUCAAAUAGAUUAAGCAUGAGUGAAAAAAAAUAAAAUUUUUACUCUUUUUUUAACAUUUACAUUAUUUUGAUAUUUGUGACUUUUGCAUUUUUUAUGUAUCUUAGUUUUUUUUUGGAAUUUACAAAAUUAUACUGAUUUUUAUAGUAGAAAUUGCUAGUAAGUUUUAAAGCCAAGUUGACUACAGACAUAAAUAUAAAAAAGGGGCGUUCACUAAGGAUUUAGCUGAAAAAUUUUCAAAUAUUUGGGAUCUUUAUAAUAUUAUUAAAAUGUAAGGGUCAAAAGUUAUAGAAAGGUAGGAACUGUAAUUGCAAUUGAUGAUUUUGCUGCCCACAAAGACCAGCGCACAGAAGAAAUUGUUGGAAGGGACCUCAUAAUUUGAGUCUACCUAGUUCGAAUGAGCUCAUGUAAUUUUUAUUACAUUUGGUAUAAAUUUGUACAAUUUUGUUGUAAUCGUCAACUUAGUUGUAUUUAUUAAAAAAAUUCAAAUUUACAUUCAAAGCGUAUAAAUUUAUAUAAAUAAUUAUAAAAAUUACACGAACGAAUUUGAACCGGAGGCUGCUCAACUUGGGCGGCCUUGAUCCGGAAAUUGCCAUAGUGACUGUAGGCAGACAUAACAAACAUCCUAAAAGGACAUAACAAAAUUGCCAGGUCAACGACCAAAACUUCUCGUUAGCCACUACACCGGCAAGAUGCAGGUGCUCAUCUUCGACUAAUCAUUAGUGCUCUUCUCUCCGCCACCUGGGUUUUUUGCCGUUUUCAGGUGUCCGUCGAUUGUAAUUUGUUCCCUUUGUGGAUGUGGGUUGAACUGUAACUGUGUAGUGAUUUCUUUCUUGUUGGCUUUUUAUUGGUUUUUGUCUCGUUUGCUUAUUGCAUGAUUAAGCUUUGCAUCCGACUGCAAGAAUUCAAAUGGCAAAGUUGUCUUUUUACCUCCUCAUAUUUCAAAAGGUAGGUCUAGAUUGUUUGCUGGAUUAAUUAGAAAACUAAGCAAUUCAAUUUUCCUAUCCCUGAAUUUCUAGUCUUGUGUACUCGGGCAAACCUUUUUCAUGACUGAGUUUAACAUCUACAAGUAAAAUUCUAGUAUUUCCAACUAUUUUUUCUUGUUAUUUCACGUAUAUCAAAAAAGUUCUAUAGUAAUUAUUUUAAAUAAUAUUUCAAAUAAUACACUAUCUAAAUAUUCCCAAUAUUUGAUACCACCAAUGUAGUACAUAACAGAUUUUUUUUUUUGACAAAUGGACGAUUAUUGAAGUUAUCAAGAGCACAUUGACAAUGAUAACAUUUAUUGGAACUUGGCAACAUGUAUACUGUAUAAUCUAAAUUUGUUCUUAGUUCAACUAAACACCAAGCCAAAUGAACUUCCAGUAGGUACUUUAUUUUAAUGCACAAAGAAGAUGAAUACAAAUUAUGAAACAAAAACGGUUGUAUUCUUUUUUCCGUUCAUGGAACAAGUAAUUGACCAGAUCACGUAUCGUAAUAAACUUCUUUAUGAUGUUGGAUUUUUGCCAAAGAUUUCACUUAUAACGCUUCCCUUCCCCCCCCCCCCCCCCCCCUCCCUCUUCAACAGCCCUCCUUGAAAAUAUUGUUUAUUUAUGUAUGCUAUCAUUAUAAGUUUUUCUUCUCAUUUUCUUUGUUGUGAAAAAUAUCUGAUUCUCACUUGUCAUUGUAGACUCUUGUCUUAGUAUGAUCAUUACUAGCAGGUUGCAUUACUUUCUAUGAAAAAUUUAAUAUUUCUUUUAUUAAGGGUGGCAAAUUUGAAAAAAAAAAGAAAAAGAAAAGAAAGGAUGACAAAUUUUAAGCUGUUGUUUAAAUCAAUUAUUCGAAGGGUUAUUAGGUAUUAGGAAAACAGUAAUAACUACAACAACAGAAAACGGCUUUGACGUGAAAAUUCACUUUCCUUAAAGAACUUUGUACUUCAAAAGUGUUUAGUCGUCCAAAUGUUAGAAAGGAGUUUAUUAGCUCUUGUCAUAUUGCAGCCAUGGUUUGCGCUUUUUAACAACAUUAAGUACUAUCCUUGUUUAUUAUCUUCCAGCUACAUCUAAUAAUCUAGAGGUUUAAACUAAUAAUUCUAAUCAUGCUGUCAUGUAAAUCUCAUUCUAACAGUUGCGUUAGUGUUUCAUAUAUGCUAAUUUUCAAGUUUACAAUUCCUUUUAUCUUUUAUUUAGUUCUAGUUUAUAGCUUUUCGAAGUUAGCAAGAAAUAUAGCUUCAAAGUUUCUCCACCUUGUCACAUGAUCUUUGAAUAUGUACACAUUCAGCCCCAUUUGAAUCUAACAAAAUCUAUAUCUGAAUCUACAUAGUUCUCCAAAAAAUUAUUCAAUGCCAGAAAGUUGAUGUAGAGAUAAAAAUUUCAAAAUAUCAACUGAUGGAGAAAGCAGUACAACAGCUUUUGCCUGAAUGGACAACAUCAAAAGCAUCAGCAGCACCUCACUUAGAUGGCAGAAGCCUCAAUCUUGAAUUUGAAGCUGAAGCAAAACGUGCCAAACUAUUAGCAGUGCAGAAGCUGGACCCUACAGCGAGAAGGUGGUCAACUUUAGCAUAAAUUAAUCAUGCUCUUAGAUUUAUAUAAACUAGCAGAUGUUCAUGGUGAUAAAUCGUAAUUAUGCCCAAUGCAGUUUUGGCUAAUAGUUAUGAAUAUUAUAUAUGAAAAAAAUUACAUAAUAUUGUUUUAAGUGUGUUAAUUUGUUAAUCUUUUAACAAAAACUAAGUCAUAAAUAAGAAUAACAUUUUUUGUUAUAUGAUAUUUAGUAGGAUUAAUCCACAACUGAAUAAUAGCUGGACACAGGUCAAUUUUAAUAUUCACAGAAAAGAAAUAUUAGUUUGUCGUAUUUGAGUUAUUAUUUAGUAAAACAAAUGUAUGAUUAAAGCUAAGAAAUGGACAAAUAGACUUUUACUGCUAUUGAAGUUAAAACUUAUCUAUUUAUCUUUAAAAUACAAGACUAACAUUAUAAGAAUUAUCGUCUACAUGAAAAUGAUACUCUAUAAGAGUUGAGCUUCUGAUUGCCAACACUAUGUAGGUUAUCUUUUUUCCAAUCAUCCCGCUGCCUUACCUUUUCUUGAAUAGCUACAUCGUCAUCAUCCUCCUCUUCACCACGUCUCAAGUUAUCCUUAGGACCUUAACCAAUGUGAAAGUAGUCAAUUUCUGUAAUAAUCAACAACCAAAAUGUGAACAACAUUUUUCAGUAAAUCCACUCCAACUUCUAAUCUGAGCAGGUGCAUGGCAUUUCUUAAAAUAUAAUUGGCUUCUUGAUUCAUCAUAUAUCAAGUCAACAAAAUCGCGGUAGCAUCUCUAACAUGUAUGAACAUUUGAUGGUGUUGAGAAAACAAUGUAGAUGACCUAUUAGUCUAUUUAAAAACAGAAAAAAAAAGGAAACUAUAGAAGGAAAUAAAAAAAAAUAGGGUGUAGUGUUUGUGUCUGAUAUAGAGAGAGAGAGGAAGAGAGCGUUUGCUAAAGAAACAGGGUGGAAUACAAUUUAGGUUCUCAGGUCGUAUUAGGAAAGUUUACUAUGAGCUCCGACAAUUCUGACCUCAUUUGGAGACAAUAAAGGCUUGGUAAAUGGGAUAAUUAUCUAGCACCAUCCAAGCAAGAGCGUCCUCACCCCCUUGCAAAAAACCAAAAGGUGAACCACUGGGUUAGUACAUUGUUGGUAGAAAAAGUUUUGCAGUUGCUGGGAAGAACAUAUUGAGAAUCACCUUAACUGAAACUCAAAAUUUUUCACUAAUAAAGCCAAUUCCUAGUUAAUUUCUCUAACUUUUUCCUUUCUUUCUAUUUUUGAAUACGCAAUUUCCUUUUUGCUGUAAAAGUAGGGUUGAAAGCCAUAACGCUCCAGUGGAGGCAACAAAUUCAAAUCCGAGUAUAGCAGGGGAAGUGACAUAGCAAAAUCUACCCAAAUGACAUCAAAACCAAUAUAUGGUAGUUCAUCACUACCUAAAUUGACCCAAAUGACAUGUAUCCUGACAUAGGUUACAUAUCUCAACGUGGUGAUUAGAAUGAAACUCCAUAUUUUUAAUAGGAUACAUGCAAUCAAAAUCCCGAAAGAUAAAAAUAUUGAUAUCAUAAAUACCGAAGAGAUGGAGAAGUAGUUAUGAUUGGUUUUAGAAACAGACAAACUUGAAGCAGCUACUGAUUGCUAAUUCUCAAGAAAAUAUCCCUCUAUUUUCAUUAGAUUAUCACCUCCAAAAGAUCAAUUACAUGUCAACUUAUAGGCAGGAAAAAAUAUCAGCAUGUUGAAGUUAAAAAAAUAUAGAAAAUAAACUGCAUAGUGAAGUUCCUUCAUGUUUUAUUUAGGCAAACAAAAGGGUGAAAGUUAAGAAAAAUUUUAUUUAAUUAUGGAGUUUUUUACAUAAAAUUUCCCAUAGUAUAUCUGUAUAAUCAAGUACAUUGAGGCAAACCACGAAGGAAGUGUAGAUAUACCUCUUGCUAUUCAAUUUGAAGCAUUUACGAGUAAAUCAAUUAAAAUCUUGAAGCCUCUAGCAAAAUUACCAUCACCUCCUGCUUACAUUUUCACCUAAAAAGGAAUCAAACCAAGAUAUGUAAGCUGAGUAUAAAUAAGUUUCAAAAACAAAGGAAGAGCCAUUUUUUGGAUGGAUGCAAUGAACUAUGAAAAUUUUUAGAUUAAUAGAGAAAUAUAAUAAUGAUGUAGCAAUAUGAUCCAUUUCCAGUUUAUGAUACAUAAUUUACAGUCUGUUAAAAAAUGACUGCCUUUUCGUUUGAGACAUCUCACAGAUUGCCUUUUGUGAGUCAAGAGUAGUAUAUAAACCUGCAAGGUAGAUAACCACAAAAAAGAAAAAAAAAAAAAAGCAAAAUCAGAUCAGCUGAAAAUCCAGAGUAAAAAAAAAUAGUAGAAAAAAUACUUAGAAUCAAAUGACUUUUCCCACUUUCAAAAUUUCUAGAUAAUCUUUUCACAAGUGACCAUUUGUUCCUAAUCAUUCGAAAGAGCUAGGGAGUAAAACCACCUAAAUUAAAGCCAACUAAAAUGCAUUGAAUAUUUACCAUACUCAAUAACAAACUCAAGGAAUAGAGUAACUUUCUGCUAUAUUGCACAAGAGCCAAAAUUUACAGCCUUAAAGCACCACGUGAAAUCGAGAAAUCUCUCAAAUUUAAAGAAAGAUAGCUAACUAUUUUCUUCAUCGUUCAAAAGGAAAUAUAUAACAAGUACUUUUCAGUUCCAUAAAACUUACCAUUCAUCUGCUGAGGAAUGUUAGUAAUCCGUGACAAAAUCUUCAAACAUGCAACUACAACACUGGAAAAAAAACUAAUAACAAAUCUAAAAGGAAAAAAGGUGCCAAGAAAACAGGAGCUCCAACAGCGAGACAUUUGCAUCUUUGUUAUUCUUGCUGAAGAAAAAUAUUGGUUGAAAGGUAAAGGUAUUACCUUUUAAACUUGAAUUCCACCAUUGAUAUUUAAGAGUAGGGUAGACAUUCACGCGAGAAGAAAUUAUCUGAAAUUUGUCAAUAAUGGUCUGAGAUGCUUCGUGCCAAGGAAAUAUUAGUUAAAAAGGACACAUGAAACAUAUUGCAAGAGAGUAAGUAAUUCGGGCAUAAUGGAAAGAAAAAACAAAUUUAGCGGAAGUUUUUCAUUUCUUAUUUACUUGUCAAACAAUAAAAUUAUUUGUUCAUCUUGAAUUUUACCAUUGGAAAUUAAAAGCAGUAAAAAAACUCUCGCAAGAAGAAACUUUCUAAUUUUUCCCUUCUUUCCUUUUAGACUUCCUAAAAUUUUUCAUUAAUGGUUUGAAAUGCUCUAAGCCAAGGAGAAAGCAAAAGAAAGAAAAGGAUAGAUAAAAAAUAUGCAAAAAAAUAAGAAAUAAGGGCAUACAAACCUUACCUUUUAAUAAAUUCUCUAACCUAAAUUGCAAACUUUAAAUAAACAAUAACUGGACACAUAUUUCUAAAAAAAAAAAGUUCCAACAAAACCCAAAAAAAUGUUAUCUAUCAACGAAAUUAUUUAUGAAGGUAAAAAAUUCUAGAUAUGAUGGGUACCUAUAUCAGAUUAUUCCACAUCUUAGCAGAGGGACGAAGGGUCUUGCUCCUAUGUUUGGAGAGACUAAAUCAAAACAAAGAAGGAAAAUGUUACCAAAAAAAAAAAAGAAACAAGCACAUUAAACAUAGGCAAAAUGGGUGAAAGUUUACCAUGAUUACAUUUGAAAAAAAGUGAUUCAGAUGGCUGAGAAGAAUCAAACAUCUUCCCCCUUCAUCCUUGUUUCCCCUUUCCUGUUAACUGAAGAGAGAGUUUGAGAGGAAUCGGCCAUCAACAAGGAAAUGAGGAGGAACGGGUGAGACAAAGGAGUCAUCUGCUUUUUUCUGUUCUAUUCUGGUGGGCAAAUGAGGAUCCAUCUACAAUCUAGUAUUGAGAGAAAUACUAGACGUGUAGUAUUCAUCAUUGUCCAAUGUGGGAGUGACACCUCAACAAAUGAUAAUUGCAAUGAUUGAUGAAAAUAAGUGUUCAUGUAAAAUGUCCUAUUUCUGCCUUGGGUCAUGACCGGUUGUUGUAGAUGCAUAACCGGGAACAUGUGUAUUAAAAAAUGAGAGAAGUGGGGCCUGGCUUAAAGAAACAAAAGAGCACAUGCUUGUAUUCUACUGUCCACGUCAUAAGAAUUUAUGCUCUUCCCAACGAAUUUGUAUCAGACAAAAUUCAAUUUAGUUGUACCACAACUAGAUUGUCCGAGGAUUAGUUCCAAGGUUUGCUGUCCAAGUUGCAUUCAAUGCUUUCACCAACAGCCACUCAAGCGUUUGGAAAUGAGUUAUUAAAAAUUUAAUGAAUUAAAAUGGUUGUUGGGAAUAAUAAAUGGCAUUACUUUGAACCUAUACUAUAAAUUGUUCAAGAAUGGCAAGGAUCCAUCACAAUGUAUAUGGAAGAAAAGUAGGUGGAAAAUCAACAAAGAAAACCUCCCAAAAUUGAAAAGAAGGUAAGUAAUAUUUAUUAAAUUUUGAUAAAGACCAUGUUUAUGUUUUUUAAAUAAUUAUAUAAAUCACUAAUGUUAGAGGAAAAUGUUAUCUAUGGGUCUUGCAUUAUGCGGUGGGAUAUGCAUCUCUUUGUUUGAUUAAUUUUUACGAAGUACAAAAUAGUCAACUUUUAUGCAACUAAUUUUUUGUUUAAUUAUUUUCACUAAGUUUUGGGUCACUAUUUGACUAUUGGUUCCGUUAAGGAUAUGGAUUUGAUGUCAUAAUAAUAAUUUAAAAUAUUAACAGAGGAAUGUGAUAGACAAUAAAAACUAUGUAAGGACAUAGUUUUCAUGUAUGUAAAUUUGGAAGAAAGAAUCGGAAUAAAUUAUCAAGGAGAAAGCAUUGGAAGAAAUUAACCAACCAAAUUGUGAAUGAGUUUGUGUCCAGAUGAAAUAGUAAACUGUUUUCGUCCACUUAUGACUUUUAUUGUAAGUAAGGCAGUGGGAGAAAAUGGUGGAUAAUUAACAUAAAAGCCUCUUUUAAGACUUUAAAUCCUAUUACUGAUUCUGGAGUCGUAAAUUAGUCAAUGUUUUUUUUCCUGCUACUCCAUUGUUUUUUCUUUGGUAGGACUAAGUUUAAAGAUUUAAUUAAUUUUUUUUUGAAAGGAAAAAAAUAAGGAAUGACAUGUAUUAGAUUCUUUUGUAUAAUUAAUUUAAUUAUGAAUUUUGUGGAAGAAGUGAAGUUUAAAAGUGGCGUGUUUAUAUUAUUGAAUUCAUAUAAGUGUGGUUACAUGGGAAUGAAAUGUAAUAAAAAGGAUGUGAGCAUUGAUUACCAAUUCUGGCAGUACAUGAAUGGUAUAUAAUAACGUCAAUCUUUUGUUUCGUAGAAUAAAAAUGGAAGAUAGCGAAGGCAAGUGUGGAAGACAAUCAAUGUUAAAUUUAAAUGAAUAUCCAGAAGACCCAUAUGUAGAUGUGGAAGAAAAUGGUAGUAGAGAGACUGGGGGCGAAGAAAAUGUCGAGAACACUGCAAUUGAUAUCGCCUUCGAUCAAUUUUGCGUGGAUGACAUUGAGCGUGAUGAAGUGAUGAAAAUGACAUUUCCGUCCGAGUCACAUGCCGAGCUAUUUUAUAACACAUACGCAAGAGCAAUUGGGUUUAGCAUCCGCAAAAGUGAUUUCAAGAUGUUUGACAGUGAGAUUGUGAAAUACAAAAAAUGGGUGUGCUCGUGUGAAGGAGAGCGCAAUCCAAAAUGGAAAAAUCUUCAAAAUAGACAGAGGGAGGCAAAACCCGACUUUAGAACAAAUUGCGAAGCUUGUUUUCGGAUAAAGUACAAGACUAUAGGAGAUUAACGGCAUUGACUUUUACAAUUUUGUCUAAUACAUAGACUUUGAGUAUAGGGAUGGUGGUAUCGGCGUUGAAAAUGGAGGCCGCACCAAGCACAAGCCUAAAGGAAAUUAACUACUGUCCCUCAAAUUCACGGUUCCCACCACACAUCGGAAUGUUGGCGGGAAGUGAAAGUGUGGCAAUUGUGAAAACUUUCCUUGUUUGAAAUAGAAUUCCAUCUCGUGCAUUUGCGCCAAUUUUUUCCCCUAAUGAAUUGUACAUGUUUGGAUUCCGUCCAUUUCAUCAAUCCGAUAUGGUCUUAUAUUACUUUAAUUACAAUCUACAAACAUUAAUACAAGAUCGUAUAAUUAAUAUGUAGUUAACUAUGUUUGUUGCAUAUUAAUAAAAUUGCAACAUUUUGGCUUUAUUUAUGAUAGCUAAUAAAUAAUUAAUUUUUGGACUAAUUUGUCUAAAUUAAUCAUACACCAUGAUAUUGGACCGAUAUGGUCAUACAAUUAGCAAGCCGCUACUGUUUACGCAUUUACCCAUAUUGAAGAAAUAAUUAACAUUUUUGGGCAAAAACCACCCCAAUUUGUACAAAAUUUAUGUAUUGGAGUAAUUUGGGUAUGACAAUUAAAAUUAAUUUUUUGGACUAAUUUACUCCUAGUUUUUUUUUUGUUAAAUCAAACAUCUAACUUGACACUGCCAACUAAACGCUGGACAACAGGAUUACUCAUCCAAAGAUGAGUAAUCGUCUCUCAUUUCACGGAGAGUUCGUUUGCUCCAUUGGAUCAUAUGAUAAUUUGAAGUUAUUUACUUCUAUUACUUGUUAUAAAUGAAUAGUCAACCAUAUUAAAAUAAUAGAAGUAAAUAACUAUUUUUUUAAACAAAUAAAAUAAUGAUCACUUGCUAUUAUUUUUCUCGAGCUUAGCUAGGCUCAAACUAUCAUAGAUUAAUGUUGAACUCGAGUUUUAAAAUGAAAGUUGAUAGAGCUCAAGAUCGUUGUCAAGAUUUGCAUUGUACCAAAAAGCAAUUUUGCAAUCCUCAAGUAAGUAAUUCCAUCUCAUGCUAUUAUUGAUAGAAUAAAUAUUGAUGCUUAUUUGUUAAACUAAACGUCUAACGCAAAACCAACCAAAUGCUGGAUAACAAGAUUACUCAUCCAAAGAUGAGUUACUGCCUCUCAUUUCAUGCAAAGUUCAUUUGCUCCAUUGGAUGAAUAUAUUUUAACAAAUUGAUGGUAUAAAUGACUAUUUUAUUCUUCUUUUAUAAAUAACUCUUUGUGCCGUCUUAUAUUACUUUUAUUACAAUCUACAAACAUUAAUGCAACACCUUCUAUAUAAUAAUUUAUUCAAACAAUCGUAUAAACUAUGUUAACUAGAUAUUAAUAAAAUUGCAGAAUUUUGGCUUUAUUUACCAUAACAAAUAAAAAAUUAAGUUUUGGUCUAAUUUGUUUAAAUUAAUCAUACACCAUGAUUUUUGACGGAUAUGGUCAUACAGUUAACAAACCGUUGCUAUUUACACAUUUACUCAUAUUAAAGAAAUAAAUAACAUUUUUGGGAGAAAAAAAACCGCCCCAAUUUGCACAAAAUUUAUGUAUUGGACUAAUUUGGGUAUGACAAUUACACUUAAUUUUUUGGACUAAUUUACCCCUUUUUUUUUUUGGUUAAACCAAACAUCUAACAUGACACUGCCUACCAAAUGCUAGACAACAAGAUUAUUCGUCUCUGAUUUCAUGUAGAGUUCGUUUGCUCCAUUUGAUCAUAUGAUAAUUUGAACUUAUUUACUUCUAUUACUUGUUAUAAAUGACUAUUCAUUUAUGUUAUAAAUGUCUUUUUUUUAGCAAAUAAAAUAAUGAUCACUCGUUAUUAUUUUUCUCAAGCUCAAGCUCGAGAUUAAUGUUGAACUCGAGCUUUAGAAUGAAAGCUGAUGGAGCUCAAGAUCGUACUGGAAGUUACGAAAAUUGAGCCAAUUCAACUCAUUUUGCAAUCCUAUAUGUUAUGGAGCCUUGUUAUUAAAUCUAUGUACUUUUUGUAAAUUCAAUAUUAAUACAUUAAUCAAAAAAUGAAUAAAAAAAUGGAGCCUUGCAAUCCGAUAUGACUCGAUAACCCAUUUGCGAAUUAAUAAUAAUUUAAUAAACAUAAAAAUUAUUUUAUCUAACUAAACUAAGUUAUUUUUUUUCCAAAGGCAUUAAUCACUUAAUCCUAAAUGAAUUUAUUUAACUUGUGUGAAGUUAAAGUUAUUAUAUUUGGACAAAUAAUGUAUUAUAUUAUUUUUUACUAUUAUACUGUUUUAAUUUAUUUUAUAUUUGGUUUGGGAUAAAACACCUUUACGAUGUCUGAUUUAUUUUAGAUUUGGUUUGGGAUUAUUUAUUUAAAUUUUUAUUACUUGAUUAUGUAAUUAGUUUUGUGCGAAAUUGGUUUCAUUAGAAAUUACAAUGAUAAAUUAAUAAAUUAAAAUUAAGUUUCGGGUCAUUUCGGGUCGCCCCGCCAAUCAGAAAUUUUCGAGUUCGUGACAAGUAUCUUGACCUGUUUCGGUUUGGUAGGUCAGGUUCGGGUCAGCGGGUUUUCUGUUACACUCAGGUCUCAACCCGACCCGUCACCCCGAUUUGGACCCGAUUGCCACCCCUAAUCGUACUGGAAGUUGAGAAAAUUGAGUUGAUUCAGCUCAUUAAAUCUAUAUUUUUUUGUAAAUAUAAUAUUAAUAUAUGUAAUCAAAAAAUGAACAAAAAAGAAUCUGGCAAAAAUACAAUAUAUUACGGCUACUUUGUAUUUGCUGCUUUAAUUUGAAGUAUCAUAGUUAACAGAACAAAGUAAAGUAUAGUGAAUUUUUUUGCAAAAAAUAUAAAACAUUUACCCAUAUCAAGAUUUCUAUUGUACCAAAAAAUUCACUCGGAACUGUGAUUUGUUUUGUUUUGUUCAUUCUUGAUAAUGCCCACACGGAGUGUUAUUGAUAUAUUUCAUCUGCUGAAGUCUCUGGAGUUUAUCAAAAAGAACCGCUCAAUUACAGCUCGGGUACUCUUGAAAUCCCCGAGGUGCACUUUAUUUUAUUGAACAGCAAGUACUCUUCUUUUACCUUUUAACCCGGUGGCCUAUUGCUCAGUUUUUGGCUGUAUUAGUUGACAAGUUUUACUCUUCUAUAUUUUAUUAAUUCCCACACCACUGGUACAGUUUUGAUACUAGACUAUAGAGCCGUCCAACAAACGAAUAGAAGUGAGAGACUUUGAGAAAGUUUCUGAGAGGAGGAGGUGAAACGGAUUAGAUGGGAAGUGUGACUGGCACAUUGGGCAGAAAGUCACGGCAGAUGCAUGUUUUUUUUUAUGUUUUUUAUAUAGGCAUGCUAAGCCCUUUUCGUUCCAAGACAACAAAAGAAGAGCAUUUCUAUUAAUCUGUUUUGAUCAAAUGAACAUAAUCUUAAUCAGACCUGUGGAUGAAAAUGAAAUUAAGAAAGCUGUGUUUUCAAUGAAUCCCAAUAAAGCUCCAGGAAAUGAUAGUAUGUCACCCUUUUUACCAAACUUAUUGGGAUAUCAUUAAAAUUAAAAAUGACAUUGUUGAGGCAGUUCAAGCCUUUUCCAUUCAAGUCACAUGCUCAAAUCCAUAAACCACACUAUUGUUUCCUUGAUUCCCAAAAUCCCCAUUCCCACUAGCUUGAUGCACUAUAGGCCUAUUAGUUUGUGCUCUGUACUAUACAAAAUUAUCUCCAAAAUUAUAGUGAAUAGACUCAAACCUGUGUUAGAUAAGUACAUAAGCAAAAACCAGUCUGCUUUUGUGGCAGGUAGACAGAUUCUUGAUAAUGUUAUCCUAGCUCAUGAGUUCCUACAUAAUCUGAAAGACAAAAGGAAUGGGCAUAUGGGAUGUAUGGCUGUUAAAUUGGAUAUGUCUAAAGCCUAUGAUAGAGUCGAAUGGGAUUACUUGAGAGCAAUGAUGGACAGAAUGGGAUUUUGUGAUACUUGGAUAAAUUGGAUAAUGAACUGCAUUACUACUGUGUCUUAUUCUUUUAGUGUUAAUGGAGAAGCAAGAGAGUUUGUAAAGACAGAAAGAGGACUAAGGCAAGGUGACCCUCUGUCACCAUACUUUUUCCUCAUAUGCUUAGAAGGUUUCUCAAGUCUACUCAGAAGAGCAGAGGCAAACCGAGAAAUGAUAGGAAUGAAGAUCAGCAAACAUGGACCUGCACUAACUCAUCCUUUUUUUGCUGAUGACUCACUGAUAUUGAGCAAAGUAGAUCAACAGGAGGCCAACGAGUUGAAGGAAAUUCUAAAAAAUAUGAGGCAGCCUCAGGUCAGCUAAUCAACUUAGAGUAAUCUUCAGUGUUCUUCAGCAAAAACACUGAUCAAAGAACAAUGGAAGCAAUAUAGGAGGAGCUGGGAGAGAUCCAGGCAGUGAGUCAAGAGAAAUAUUUGGGAUUGCCAAUGAUUAUCACAAAGACCAAAGAGCAGAUUUUUGGGUUCAUAAAGGACAAAAUCAGAAAGAAGAUGGACCAUUGGAAAACAAAAUUGCUAAGUCUUGCUGGCAAGGAAACUUUACUGAAGGCAGUGACAAUGGCUAUUCCAACUAAUGCCAUGUCCUGUUACAAACUCCCAAAGAAGCUUUGCAAGGAAAUCUGCUCCAUGAUGGUAAGAUGUUUGUGGGGACAAAACGACCAAAAAAACAAGCAACACUAGAUAGCAUGGGAAAAAUUCACCAAAGACAAGGAAGAAGGUGGAAUGGGAUUCAUGGAUCUUCAUCUGUUCAACAAAGCUUUGCUGGCAAAACAAGUUUGGAGAAUAAUGACACAACCAAAUCUCUUGGUAAGCAAGGUACUGAAAGGAAAAUACUUUCCAGAAGGAUCAAUACUAGAAGGCAAUGCUCCAAAGAAUGCAUCCUGGAUUUGGCAAAGUCUAAUAAGUGCUAGAGAGGUUAUUGAAGAAGGCUGCAAAAAGAGAGUUGGGAAUGGAAAAGGAACUAACAUUUGGAAAGAAAAAUGGAUUAACAAUGAUAGUGGUGGGAGGAUAAGGACACAGAAACCAGAGGACAGUGACCUGCAAAAAGUCUCACAGCUCAUGGUUCAACACAGAUGGAACGGAAUUUGAUCUACAAAGUCUUCAACAAGGAUGAUGCAGAACACAUCCUGAACAUCCCAAUAAGUCUGUUGGACCGGGAAGAUAACAUGAUAUGGACGCACAACAACAAUGGCCAAUACACAGUGGCGAAUGGAUACAAAAUUCUGCAGCAAAAGGAAAGGGAAAGGAAGGCAAAAGGAGCAAAGAGGAGGGGUGCAGUUAUCAACAAACAGACAGGGAACUAUGGAAAGCACUAUAGAAGAUGCCUAUUAAACAUAAAAUGAAAAUUUUUGUGUGGAAAUGCAUCAACAAUGGAUUACCAGUCAAGGCUCAAAUUUUCAACAGAACACGAAAAGGAGAUCCUAUAUGCUGCGGGUAUGGAGAGAGUGCGGAGACCAUUGAGCAUGUACUACUGCAAUGCAAGAAAGCAAAGGAAAUCUGGAAAUGUGCAUUGGUACAAUGGGAUGGACUACAGGACCAAUCUGGAUGCUUUAAACAAUGGUGGAAUAUGAUGAUGAAUGCAAUAACUAGGAAUGAAGGUGAGGACCACAUAGCCUUAACAGUUCAUGUGCUAUGGCAGAUUUGGAAAGCAAGAAAUGCAAGAAUUUUCAACUCCUCACAACAGGAGCCGUUUAAAGUGAGUGAAAAGGCAACUGAGGAAUGGAGGGAACACAUGGAAGCAAAUCAACACAAACCAAGGAAGAGCAUAGUAGAAACAAGAAGGCAAACUAGAAAUGAACAAAUGGAACAAAUAGAUGCUAAGACUGUAACUCUGAAGCUUGCAGUCCAACACCAGAAGAAAUCCAAAUCCUUUGGAAUUGGCAUCACAGCUUUAAAUGCUAUAAACCAAGGGAUGGCAGCUUGGUCAUUAAGAGAAAGAUAGACAGGGAACAACGACCAAGACAUGGCAGAGGCAGUGGGAUUAUGCAUGAUCAAGGCAGCAGGGAAUGGAUGGAGGAAAAUCAAUAUACGGUUUGAAAACAGGAAGAUGAUGACCCAAAUUCAAACCGGGAAAGCUGGUAACAUAGAGAUAGCUGCUAUUUCGGAGGAUAUCCAGAAAAUAACCUUAUGGUUUCGAAUGUGCUCUUUUGUGAGGUUGAAUGACGAUACUGAUAGUUUAUGCUACAGUUUGAGCAAAAUUGCCCUUUUGAAUUUUUGUGACAUGGAGUGGAACUACGCCACUCCUUAAUGCUAAAUGCACUCUUGUAAAGAUAGGAGCCCUUGCUCCAAAAUUGUAUAGUUUUGUGAUGAUAUAAAAUUCCUAUCGUUUCGGGAAAAAAAUUCUAUUAAUCUGUUUUGGAUUCCAAUGCACAAACAACACACAAAAGAAUAUUCCUCAAAACAAAAAUUUUUCACACAAAACCACGUGCAAGGCACAUGGAGGACGACCAUGUUUUGACACCCUCUUCCCAGUUUAUAUACAUUCUUUAAACUAGGAUUUUGACCCGUGCAUUUAUAUGUGAAUUCAAAACAAUAAUAUAUAUUUAUAUAUUGUAGUACAAGAUAAAGUAUAUGAAAAAGGCUAAAAAAAUGUAUACUAAAAGUUAUAAUAUAGAUUAAAAUUUAUACCCAUAUAUCAAAAUUUAUAAUAUAAAAAUCAUAAAGUUAUUUUUAAUAUUAAUUUUGAAUUGGCCACACACAAGAAAAUUUUUGAAUUGAACGAUUUCAAAUUUUCAAAGGAGAAAUUUUGUGGAAUUGAGCAGUUAACAUUUGAGGUAAACGAAAAAAUUUCAAUAGCUUGUAAUUUGGUUUUACACUUUUGAAAUGUACUUAUAUUUGCACUUUCAAAAUAAAAUUGAAAAGAUAAAAUUUGAAGCAAAAGAAAACCUUAACCUCCAAUUUGUCUUAACAUUUUUACAAUAUAUUUAAGUUUACCUCCCCUAAAAUGAAAUCAUAUAAAACUGAAAAUUAAACACAAUGAUUGCAAGAAUUGGCAUCUGAAAAUGCAAACGAAAAAUUAAUAAUAUCUUAUAAUACCCCUAAUUACUAUAUAUAUAUAUAUGGCAUAGCAGUUACAUAUUUAUAUAUGAAGAAAAGAAUAAUAAUACAUAAAAUAAUCAAUAAUACCUAAGGCUAUUCUUAGUAUUUGGGUUUUGCACUCUUAUUCAAAUUUAAUUAAGGUCAAAUUUGGAUAAGAUAUAUAUAUAUAUAUAUAUAUAUAUAUAUAUAUUAAGUAGUUACAGUUUAGGGUCAAAUGUUCUAUAUCUUUCCAUGUCGAAAGGCUAGUAGUACUUUAUUUUUGUUUAGUGAUUUCAUAAUUUAGAUUUCAUGAAUGAUACCCUUCUUGAUUUUUUAAAUCUAUGACCAAUGAAUAUUAUUUCCUUUUUGUUUUCUAUAUAAUUUGCCUUUUAGUUUAAUUUACUAAGUUGAAGGGUAAAAUAUUGUUAUUUACUUUUAAAUUUUUAAUAGGUUUGGUGAUGUUUACUCUUUAUUUACCCUCACAUUAAUAUAUAGGAUUUUAAAUUCAAAAGGCAUGAAAGGAUAUGUAAUAAAGAAAAAAUUCAAAAUCCUAUAUAAAAAAGAAUGAGGAGUUGGAAGCAUUUUGACAUAACCAUUCUAAAAACUCCUUCUCAAAUUUAUAUAGAUACAGAUAAUAUACUAUUGAACUUCAAUUUAUUUAAAAUGCCAAAUCCCUUUUCUCUAUUAAAGUGUUGGCAACAGUCAAUUUGGAAUAGGUACAAAUAUUUUGUUAUUAGAGGUAAUUAAUGAAAAAAAUCUUUUAAUGGGUCAAUGUAGAAUGGGGAGAGAAUAUAAAAAAAAUUAAGAGGAUGAUUUAUAUAGAGAAAGAAAUUUUCUAAAAUCUAAGGGAAGCAAUGCAACUAAAGGGGCUAAUUACUCAGAAUAUCGUUGAAAAAAAAAAGUCGGACACAUAUGAGUCUUACAAGGGUGUACUGCAAAACUAUGGCUGCCGGCAGUGGCGGAGCCAGAAAAAAUUCUUAGUGGUGGCAAAAGCAACACUAAAAUUUUUUACCUACCCUUUUUCUAAUUUUUUAAGCAAAAACAAAAUUUACCAACAAGUACAAAUGAUGCAUAUAUUCCAUGAAAAACAUAAAAAGACAAAUUCAAAAUUAUUAAUAUAAUAAUAAUUUUAUUUAAAAAACAAACUAAACUAUUUACAAUUGCUCACUGCGAGUUUUUAUAUUUUAAUAGCUAACUUGGUUGUGGAAGUAAGAAUGGCUCUCGGUUGUGGAGGGAAAAUGGGGGACCAGUGGAGGGAAGAAAAAUUGGGAAGUAGGGACAAAAGAAGUGAAUGAUAUGAUUGGAUGAAUUGAUCAAGAGAAAGAGUAGCUAGCUGCUUGAUUGUAGAAGGUAGUAGCUCUCGGUUCUGGGGGAAAAUGGGGGACCAAAGGAGGGAAGGGAAAUUGGGGAGUGGGAUCCAAAGAAAGUGAAUGAUAUGAUUGGUACUUGCUAGUUGAAAUGAGAAGAUUUUUUUUUUAUCUUAUUUCAAAUGGAAUUUGUACCCCACGUAUCUUUUUAGAAUUUUAGUUUAUGAACUAAUUUAAAAAAUUACGUAAUUUUUUCAUAUCCUUUCUAAGAAAACUCUGAGGACAUACUUAAAAUUAUAUCAAAAUUAUAUAAGUAUUAUAGGAAUUUAAGGGGCAGUGGGGGCACCACCUUAAAUCAGCCCGGCAGCCAAAAAGGCCAAUUUUUUUUUUUAAACUCUGAUAGCCCGGCAGCCGGCAGAAUUCUGCACAGCCCAGCCAGUCCAAUAUUUUUUUAAAAAAAAAUUCAUCUUUUUGUGUGACAGAUGAGAGCAGCCGUGAGAAAGGCCGUGAGGGUCCCUUUUCUUUUUCUUUUCUUUUCUUUUCUUUUCUUUUGGGUGGACUAAAGUAGUGAGAUAUAAGCUGCCCAAGAAGUUUCUUAAUUCACUACCAAAACGGAAGCUUUUGCUACUCACUUUCUUGUGUUUGGAACCUUUUGAUGGCCCUUUUAUGUCCAUUCCAUGGCUUCCAGCAUGGUACAAUUCUGCCAAUCGUACAAAACUAUAUACCUAAAAUUAAAGAACCAAACAACAAUUAGUCCAAACUUAAACCAUCCUCCCCAGCAAUCCAAAUUAAGAAUAUAACCAAAUCUGCAUAUAUCAUAGUACCAACCACUAGAUAGAUACAUGCUACUACUACCACUCAAAAACCAAAGCCAAAAGGCAAAACAUUUUCAAGAAAAAAUGUACCUUGUCUCUGCACCUUCCACUAACAAUCGCUGUGGGAAAAUACCUAGCAAGUUUUCUCACGGCUGCCCUCAUCUGUCACACAAAUGCUGCUAGUGCAUCUUAUCUUAUUGUAAAAUGAAUGAGAUUUUUUGUUUAAAACAGCCUUUUUUUAGUUUAACAUCCUAUAGAAGUAAUUAUUGAUUUAACAAAUCUGUUUUCAUCUUUUUCUUACGUUCCAAAUUUGAAACGUAAUUUAAUUAACUUAAAAGAUUGUUGGAUUUAGUACGUCAAGUGGCAUAAGUUUUUAAUAAAAAAAAGGGUGAAAUUGUUGUAUUGGAAAAUGGGUGAAAUUUUCAAUAUUAUUUAGUGAAUUUUGUACAUGUCAAAACAAAUAUUGUGGUAGAUUUUAUUUUUUAAUUGAGUUUCAUAUUUGAAAUAAUUGAGGCGUAAAUAUAAAAGAAAGGGUUGGGAUAUCAAAUAUGAUUAAAAUAAAGGAACAUGUGCAAUUUUGGUCCCCCCAACAUUUGGUCUAUGAGUUAAACUAAUCUGUGAUAUUUUGACCAAAAUAAUUAUGAUAGCAAAUUUUUUAUUUUAGCCAAAUUUAGGACAACUAAUACAAAACUAUAAUAUAUAACGGUCAAAUCAAGUUAGAAUUUGUCAAAAGUUUGACUUCGUAUUUUUUGGUCCCUUAUGUUUUAAAUAAUUAUAUUUCAAAUGAAAUAAAAUGUGAAUUAGAUUGAAUGCAUAAAAAGUGUGGUCUAAAUCUCAUUAAAAUCCUUAAAAGUAAUCCACAUUGUCAAGACAUAUUAGCCUAAAAAGCAUCUUUUCGUUAAAUUAAUUACCAACAAAUGAUAACACAUAAAUCAUAUAUAAAAGAAAAUUUAGUGGAAAAAAGAAAAUCUUAGUCGCUGUUAGAUGAAGUCAACAGAUCAAAGAGACGAUUAGUGUAUCUUCAAUCAUUCAAUAUUCAAUGACAUCAAUCAUUUUCAUUGAAACAUUUUUCUUGAAAAUGUUUUGCCUUUUGGCUUUGGUUUUUGAGUGGUAGUAGUAGCAUGUAUCUUUCUAGUGGUUGGUACUAUGAUAUAUGCAGAUUUGGUUAUAUUCUUAAUUUGGAUUGCUGGGGAGGAUGGUUUAAGUUUGGACUAAUUGUUGUUUGGUUCUUUAAUUUUAGGUAUAUAGUUUUGUACGAUUGGCCGAAUUGUACUAUGCUGGAAGCCAUGGAAUGGACAUAAAAGGGCCAUCAAAAGGUUCCAACACAAGAAAGUAAGUAGCAAAAGCUUCCGUUUUGGUAGUGAAUCAAGAAACUUCUUGGGCAGCUUAUAUCUCACUACUUUAGUCCACCCAAAAGAAAAGAAAAGCAAAAGGGACCCUCACGGCCUUUCUGACGGCUGCCCUCAUCUGUCACACAAAAAGAUGAAUUUUUUUUUUUUAGCCCGGCAGCCAGCUUUUUGCAGAAUUCUGCCGGCUGCCGGGCUGACAGUGUCAGAGUUUAAAAAAAAAAAUUUGCCUUUUUCAGUAUAUCUUUGUCAGACUCAUAUGUGUCUGACUUUUUUUUUUCAACGAUAUUCUGAGUAAUUAGCCAACUAAAGGAGAGUAUGUUAUAAAAUUCAAGGGUGCAUAUAUGGUGAUAAAUCUUCCAUAUAUGGUGCAUAUAUGGUGAUGGCUAAACAGGUAGGAUGGACUAAAAUUACAAUCCAUUCAGAUAGCAAAUCAGUUAUUGACCAGAUACAUAGUGGCCAUGAGUAUGAUAGUACCAUUGCAACUAUUCUGGAAGAUGUGCAGGAUUUGACUUCACAUUUUGUAAGCUGUAGGUUUGUGUGCAUAUCUAGAUCAGAAAAUGAAAUUAGCCAUGCUCUAGCUCAGUUUGCUAUUCAGCUAGUGAAUGAUAUUGAAUGGGAACAAAAUUUCCCAGUUUGGCUGAUGGAUUUAGUGAGGAAGCAAAUGAGGGUAGUUGCCCCUUUUGUAAUUAAUUCUUGUAUUUAUCAAGGGAUUAUCAAAUAUAUAUAACUGUUAACGUUUGUGGAAAAAAAAAUAUAUGGUGAUAAAUCUUGAAAAAUUUCAAGGCCGUUAUAUAAUUGUUAUCAAAUUUGAAGGGAGCAAUUGUCCACCCUUCACUCCUAUAUAGCUCCACCACCAGCAACAUAACAACUAUCCAACCACGACCACUACAACUAGGGCAAGCUUUAUGAGGUUGGAAGAUGGCUUAAAAAAAAUUUGGAUGUGUGGUGUGCUAAAAAAAAAAGUUAAAUAUGAUGUAACAAAUUUAAAAUGAUCAUUUUACCUUGAAAUGGAGUAUAAUGAAACUUGUGAGGCUCUGAUCUUGCGUGACUGAUGGUGAUUGUCCAUGUCUUCACAGCUACAAAUUUGUCUUCUCUUUUUUGCCCUUUUAGCUCAUUUCAAAGGCAAAAAUAUCUUCAAUUGAUUUUGUUGUAGUUUAUGUAAUGCAUCUACACAGACUGACUUGGCAUUGACCUUUUCGGCUUCUUUAUUGCAUUUUGAUUGAAGAUUAUUGUAUAUAUUUUUUGUAUUAACUACUUAAAACUUGUUUGAUGUGAUAUAUAUAUAUAUAUAUAUAUAUGAUAAGAAAACAAUUACGUUAUGUGUGCAGUGAAUUACAGCAAUAUUUGUUGGGUAAAAUACACUAAACUCCCUUGUGGUUUGGGUUAUUAUCAUAAAGCCUCUUCAUUGUUUAAAAACUCCCAAAGAAUCUCCUUGUGGUUUGGACUAAUUUGGGCAAUGAACGAAAAUCGUCCAAUUUGACGGAAUUCGAAUGGAAAUCGUCCAAUUUGACGGAAAUUCCGUCAAAUUGGACGAUUUUUGUUCAUUGCCCAAAUUAGUCCAAACAACGAGAGGGUUCUUUGGGGGUUUUUAAACAAUGAGGAAGCUUUAUGAUAAUAAUCCAAACCAUAAGGGAGUUUAGUGCAUUUUACCCAUAUUUUUUCUACAUAAUGCAUGUUCAAACUGAUCAGUGCUCCUUUUUUUUUUCUUUACUGUUUUAUUAGUGAUUUCUGUCCCUGAUUUUGUUUCUCUUUCAUUUUUUUGUGGAAAAAUUGACGGUUUUUAAGUCUCUGUUGUCGCAAUUUUAUACCUCUAUCUUGUUGGAGACACUGCUUAGUUGUUGGCUUGGGAGUUUCUUGAGUCAUUGAAAACUAUACAUUAUCAUUUUGAAUAUCUUAUUCUUAGCAAGAUAUACAAGAAUAGGUGGCAUUAACCGUUAAGUAAGCAAUUGAAUGUUGAUGAAAUUGUUCGAAUGCAGGCUUUUGAGCUAACUGAGAUAUGUGCUUAGGGAAUUUCUACCAUUUAUCCACACAAGAUUCCAUAAACUUCAUGCCAUCUUAUGCCUGUCUUGGUUAUUCAUGCUUAAUUAUAGUUUGAAUAAACUUUUGUAUAAAUGAAUAUUUGUUGCAACGACAAUUAGACUAAUUAAAUAUUGUUGCCUAUGUUAUUUUGUUGUUUUUGUCUUGAUUGAUCAUGAACUAUUUUGGAUUUUUUUUUGGUGUUAUCACUAGAAGGUUAUCUUAAAAUAAAAGAAAGCAAGCCGGAUAGUUUUCAACAACGUUUUGAACUUUUGUUAUGAGCUUCAUUAUCAUUAGAAUAAUGACUCUGGAAGCUUGAGAGCAUAUUUUACUUAACAAAAAAUUUAUUUUGUGUUAGCUUCACAAAUUAAAAAAUAUAUAUAUAUAUAUAUUCGGUCUUAUAUUUUUAAUUACCAAAUUUCUUUUGGAUUCCUACCAAUUUAAUGUCAAGACUAAAAAUAGUUUACUUCUCUCUUUUUUGUUUCUUUUUUCAUGAUAAAUAUUAUUUGCCUCCUAAAGGCUAAUAAGUAAUAAGAGAGUAUUGGUGCCAAAAUCUCUUUAAAAAAAAAUAAAAAAAAAGCGCUUCAAAGUCAAAAUUCAAAAGACUCAAAACUAACUUGCUAGCUAAAGGAUAAAGCUUGGGUACUAACCAGUCAUGGUAUGAUACUUUAUUCAUCAAUUUACAUUCUCUUGGCAGAUUGGGACAUUCACCAAUUUACAUUCUCUUGGCUGAUGAAGAUUAGUUUGCUCUAUGAUUUUUUUUUUGUUGUCAAUUGCUCUAUGAUUGUUGGCUUACAAAUGAUUGUUAUUUUAUAAUAUUUUAAUAUUUUAUUGCUUUGGACUAUUACUUGUUAAUCCACGUUGUUUCCUUUUUAUAUGCUUAUGCUUUAUGUUCUCGAAAUAUCAUGUUUCAUUAGUAAUUUUCACUUAAAAAGUUAAUUCAUAACUACUAGUGUAAAAAAAUUAUUAUAUUGUCACUAUAUAAAAUGUUAAUCCAAAAUUAAAUAUUCCAAAACGAGUUAAGACACAACACUGACACAUUACCAAACAAACAGGUUAGAUAAAAACAUGACAUAAAAUUUAAAUGUGUAAUUUAUGAGUUUAUAUAUACUUUGAUAUGAACAAAAAAAUGAUACAGCACAGAAGUGACACAACACGACAUGUUUAUCGCUCUACAACCAUUAAUCCAACAAAGUAAUAAUUUAUUGGAUUGCUAUAGUGUAAUCUCAAAUUGCUAAAAUAGAUGCAUCAUUAACCUUAUAAAAUCGUAUUCUCACUAAAAUAAAAUCAAUUUAAAAAUAAAAAAACAGACCAUAAAAAAAAUUACCACGCUCCUAACUAAAAUGUAUUAUACAUUAAUAAUCACAAAAAAAAAGAAACAAAAAAGCGACAAUAUCAGGGCCCUCCACAGGCAAAGAGUGACCUCACAAAACUUUAAGAGAAGAUGACGCACGAGACUAACGGUACGAACAAAAAAUAUAUUCUUUCUUUAGUACUGAUUGCUGAAUUUUGGGUUCCUGCUUUUAGUUCAUGACGCUCAGGUUGCACAUAAACUGUUUGUCACAAGUUCAAAAAGAAAAGAAACUAGAAUACAGCAAAAAAGAACACAUUCAGUAACGCAAGAUAAUUCAUCGUAGAUGAACAGUAUGAACAGUUUACCCAAGGUAAUGGAUUAUACUUUUUAAGUCGUACAAUUUUGGUAGUAAGUUACCGAACAUUCCAGGGCAAAUAGAAGUUGUCAACACUUUAACAGGCUUUGAAGCUCAUUCAAGUCGGAGACAGUAGAAUUGAGUAAUUGUUAACUUUGCUUUUGAACUUUCGCGGACACAGCGGAAAACGGCACUUGGAACACCCAUUUGUCUAAUCAUGGCGAGGAGUUUUAACA